rnacentral:lncRNA from 1 species
AAAUGUUUCAUUUGCCUUGCAGGCUGGUCGGUCUCAGCGCUGCAUCGGAAGACAAGUCUGUUCCAUUAGCUCUUGAUGCUUGUGGAUCUUCCUACUGUGUGCAGUUUCCCCAAGCCAUUGCUGUUUGCUUGCUUUCCAGCUAAGGAGGUUAGUGAGCUUUUUUCUUUUUCUUUUUUUGGAGGGGGGGGAACAAUCUUUACUUAUUAACCGAUGACACCCACUAAUUUGCAGGGGGAAAGCUAGAUAAGGGCUCCAGCUAAUGUUGCAGCAUGAAACCCAAUGUCUCCCAGAGCCCGAUAGAGAAAUCUCACUCUCCCCGACCCUGCCGGUUUUUCAUCCUCCAGUGUUGUUUCUGGUGUGAUCUCACAGUCGGUAAAUUUGUCACUUCAGGACUUGGCCCGGCUCCAAGCGGUUUUAAAGUCACUUGCUCAGGCGAAAAAGAAGAAUGGCUCAUUGGGGAAGCGAAUUAUCCUGGAGGGCAUUGUUGCAAUUAGAGAGAUAAAUGGCUGUGGGCUUUAAUUAGAGUGCGUGGUACGUACUCUGUGCCACGAUUUCAAGAAUCCUGGCGCACGCAGCCAGGGAUCAGAAUGUUAAAUCGCGCCGGCGCCUGCAGGAGCGAGAGAGGGUGCCAAGAGGAGCCAUUUUGUUUUAACUCCGCGUUUAUUUAUAAACAUGCAGCAAUUUGUUAAAGGGGCAUGGGGAGAAAUCCUUUACUCCGAAAACUGGCAAUUUCCAUGCCUUCAGGUAGGCUCCAACUGUAUUUAAAUUCGUAGCAGAAACAAAUCUGUGUGGGGACAUGGGGUUAAGGGCGGGAGAAUAUCUCACACAGGAAAGAUUAAUGCACUGCGGAAAUUCACGAGGAGCACUUACAGGAAACUCACAGCAGGGAUGGGGCAUCUGUGACCCUCCAGAUGUUGUUGAACUUCAACUCCCAGCCAGCAUAGAUGAUAGUCAAGGAUGAUGAGAGUUGCUGGUGUGCAGCACAAACCAAGCAAUUUUAGGGUGGUCAUUUGACCAGUCGGACAAGGAAAACAGACCUGCUUUGUUAACAGGCUAGGCCAAAUAUGGGUCAAAUGCAGCGGUGUGUAACCUGUAAGGGCCUUGGACUGAUUUCAUGUGGUCCUCAGUCUGGUCCUCUGGCAAGAUCCAUCUGCCCCUCACUUGGCAGCCUGCUGGGUGGGGAGGAAAAGGAUGUGUUGGGAGAAGGGGGUGUCAGAAAGAGAGUGAAAGGGGAGGCAUCAGGAAAAAAGAAAAGGGGUCCCAGAGGGGGGGAAAGUGGCACACUUUUUGUUCUGGUUUUACCCCCCUCUGGCUUUGCUCCCCACAAAUGUGCCACCCCAUCCCAAAAUUUCCUUCAAGGAUGGAAGUUUUGACAAAAACACAGGUGCCCACUUUUGACGAAGAGUGAUUUAAGCAUGUGUUGUCUACUUAAGUACAAGCCAGCCAUUUUGUGUUAUGCCAUAGCACCACAGCAGCCAUUUUGUAACUAGCAGCCAUGACAGCAUCUCAAAAUUCCAAAUGUGGCAACUGGUCCCCAAAGGUAGGCAACCCCUGGUUUCUGUCAUCUUUACUAUCCAGGAUUAACUUUCCUAAAGCUGAUGUUCUCCAGAUGUUUUGAACUCUACCUUUCACUGCCCCUGAAUCCUAGACUACACAAAUGGGCUGAUCUGUGCUGUAGUCUGAAACACAGGACAGCGUUUGUAAACGAAGCCCUCUGAAGAAAAUUCACCCACAUUACCUGUCUCCGGGUGCCUGUGUUUGUUCUCCCCUAAGCAGGGGUCUCGACAACCUCUGUGACUCACUGAGGUUCUGAGGAUAUGUCACCUUCUUGACACAAACAACUGAGAGGGAUAAAAAAAACCCUCAUCAAUUUUAGUGCAUUUUUCGUAUUGAUUGUAUUGCUGGUUUCUAUGGAAACAGGCACAGAGGAGUUAAUUAAGAUCAAGGGUUAGAGCAGGGAGAGAGAAAUUGGACUCUUUUGGGCAAGUCUAUCUAUCAUGCACAUUCAAAUGAGGUCUCUUGGAGUGAAAUAUCACCCAAGUUCAAAGAGCAAUGUUUGAAAUAAUUGCAUUAAAAACAAAUGUCAUCUGUUAAGAAGGGCAUAAUACGGAUAGUUUUGUUCCCGGUUUGCCCUGUUAGAAAGCGUUCCUUUAGCUUUGAUGAUCAAGUUAAUCGAAAGGGAGGGUGAGGGUGAAAUCUUUCGAAACAAUGUGACGCACACAAACUUCAAUAGGGAGAUCUUUGGGGAUUCAUGACACCAUCCCCCCUCUUUAAAAAACAAAACAAAAACAAAAACCCGAAAUGCUAAAUGGAGACAAAACCCUUGAAAGAACUCUGACAGGUCCUAAAGUCACAUUUGAAAGACUCCAAAUAUCCAGGGCUGCAGUAUUUUAAUUAACCAAUUAGUGUCGUACAUUGAUUCAAGCUUUUCUGCCCAUUAAGGGCGACGUGUGGCAGAUGGCACUAUUUAAAUAAUUAAUACCGAUAAAUAAAAACGUAAGAAAGAAAGAUUACGCCCCAUUUCGUUGAUUGGAUCCAUCUUAUGAUCUCACCACUUUCCCCUGCUGAUCCUCCACUAAUGUAUUAAGGCCUUGAAGAGUUCUUUGGACAAUGAAGGAAGGGGCAGACUCCAAUGGGUUCUCUCUGAGCAUGCACAAAGGCUCUGGCCCUCUAGGUCUCCUUAAGCUCAUCUGGCUCAGCCAAAAGGGAUUUGCAGGCCCUGCAAAGCCCUGAAGGACCUCUGUGCAAGACCUGGCAAUCAGCUGGUUGUGAUGUCAGGUGAUUGACAGGUGGGCAGCCUGGUCAAUUUUUGUUCCAAGAGGAAUCAGUUUUUCAUGCAUCCUACUGCUUUAAGAUGCACAAUAUUAAUAUCUACAAUAAAGCCUGGCCUUCAACAGAUGAGAAUGGCUGGGAAGCACAUAGCUGGGAGGACUUUUGCCGUUGUCCCCCAACUCCUGGCACCUGAGGCAGCCUUUCCCCUUUGCCUAAUGGAAGGGCUGGCCCCUCUUGGAAGACCUCUCCCCCGAUCCCAUGUAAUUCCUUUCUAUACAAAUAAGCGGCAAACAGGUUUAAUUCCACUUGGCUUUCAAUGGUUUCUCAUUCAACUCUGAAGUUCUUGCUCUCCUUGGCUUCUGAUAUUUUGUUUUCCACGUCGUUCCUCUUUAAACAGAGUUUGCAUUUUCUUUGCUUCUAAACUGCCUUGGGGGUUUUCGCUACGGUCAAAAGGUGGAAUGAAAAACACACACAUUUGAAUUGAUAAAUACAAUUAUCAAAGUGCAAAGGGACUGGAUCCAGGCUGCAUUCUCAUGCCAUACAAGGUAGCCAGCUGUGUUAGGUGUAGAAUGUGGUUCUCCUUGGGCCCUGUUUGACUGGGAUCCAGGGCUAUGUCAUGGUGAGUAUAUAAUAAAAACUGCACAAUAUAUUUUAAUCUACCUUGCAAAGAUUUGAGGGUGUGCCUUUAGCAGUUGCCAAGAAUCUUACAUGCACACACACAUUUUUACAUAAAAUGGCUACCCUUGGCUACUGCUCCUUUCCACUUUGCUUCUCAUGCCAUCCAUGCACACUGUCUCCAUCCUUAAUUCCCAGGGAAUCUCUGCAUUUUUGCUGGAAGUGACUCUCCGGAAGCCUGACAAAUCAUAUACCUGCCCAAAAUAGCAACCAAGCCCUAACAUAUUUGAUAGAAACUCCAAGGGGAAAUACAGGUAGCUGGAAUGUAAUUACCGCCUCUGGAAUUUAGCCAGAAUGCCAGGGUUAAAUCCCUAUUUGCCUGGCAUAAUUUCAUUGGUAAAUACAUUUUCCCACUAGCUUUUGCACAAAUCAACGUGGUUUUGUGUAUGUAUGUGUGUACAUAUAAGCCAGAUAGUUGAAAAAUAAAAAUCAGUACAACCACCACAAUGUACAUUUAAACAGACAUCCAUCUUGGCUAAGAAAGGGGCAGCAGCACUGAAGACAAUUGGUCUGGUUUGGGGUCUUGCAAGGUCAACCAUGCAGGUACCUCUUAGACCUACUCUUAUUUAUUAGCCAUUUAAGAGGCUGCCUCUGUGACUGGUGCUCUGGAUUUGUGCUUCAGGUGGAAGAAGCAGGCGAGGAGCUACCUGGGGAGAUAAUAGCACUGUCUCAAAAAGCCAGCUUUCAACAACUAUAAAAACCCUACAGCUGCAAGCUCUAGUAUCUUGUCCCUCAGACAGUGGCAGAAGGCAUCCAAGGAGAUGGGCAUGGGCUAAAUGACAAAUGAGUUGAAGGUAAGGGCCUUAGCUCAGUGUUUGGAGCAUCUGCCUUGCAUGCAGAAGACCUGUGUUCAAUCUUUGGUGUCUCCAGAUGGUCAAAGCUCUUGCCUGACACCCCAGAGAGCUGUUGCCAGUUAUAGACAAUACCAAGAGGGACCAACAAGUAGAUUUGCAUAUGCUUCUGAGUCCUAUGGUACAGAAGUACUACACUGAAAGCUAGGUCUGGGCAAGGAAACAAUCCUUCAGUCAAGGCCACCCCCCUUCUUUGAAAUCACAAAGUAGUCACAUUUUUUCAACUAGAUGACCCUUGGGUCCCUUCCAGCUCUGCAGUUCUAUGAUUCUGAUACCCAGUGCUUUUUUCUUGUGAAUCUAAUGGGAGAAGAAACUAAAAAUUAUUUAAAAAAUAAUAAUUUCUUCUCCAGCAAGGUGAAUCAUCAGUUCCGUUGCUACCUCCGAUGGCAGCUUCAUUUCCUGUCAUGGUGUUUCCUNNNNNNNNNNNNNNNNNNNNNNNNNNNNNNNNNNNNNNNNNNNNNNNNNNNNNNNNNNNNNNNNNNNNNNNNNNNNNNNNNNNNNNNNNNNNNNNNNNNNAAAAUUGGGGAGGUGGGUGCAUGCAAGUCCAUACCAUCCAACUUUUUCUGACCGCAAACCUGGACACGCGGUCUUCCAGGAUGCGCUCCUGGGUGAAUCACGUGAUCUGUACCUCUCUCUCACCCUGAAAAAGCAAGAUUGUAGCACCCAAAAUUGCCGCCGAGAUCUCAUGUUAGAAAACGGGACGCCCCAUUUUUCUCAGGGCACUUGGAAGGGAUGCAAGUCCCACCCAAAUACCCCAGCAUGCAAUGACUUCUGAACUUUGCAUGCUGAGCAUUCCACCAAACAUAGUCAGAAUCCCUUUUUUUACCCCUUCACGCUGGAUGGGUGAAGGAGUGGAGUGGAGCUGUUGUGCCCUGGGCUGGCAGAACUGGUGUGUUCCCUAUGCUCCCUCUGCACUUUCAGCCCACGUGCAUUUAUCCCAAAGGCAUGACUAGGGCUUGUGACUUUGAUUAGGGAACGAGGGGCUGCAGGUGUUGUUAAUACUCUGAAUCUGAUCCGCUGCAAGGAAGACGGAAGUUGUAGUCUAGCAACGUCUGGGUCGUCACAGCCCCUCCAUGCCUGUUGGUUUCUGUGUGUUGCCACUGUGCAGUGCUCUUGGAGUCAUAGGACUCUGUUUACAUUCCUGGGAUUCCAGACUGUUGGAAGUCUCACAGAAGACAGGAGACAGAUGUGGUGUUACUGGUUUCCUGUUCCUUUGUUUUUCAGUUGCUCUCUGCUUUCACAGAGAGAGCAUGUUUAUUUCUUUCCUGUCUGUGUAGUUAGGAAUAAAACUCUUUGCGAUGUAGCUCAUACAAUCUCGUCCUUCCCUGUGCUGGAUACUCUGCAUAAUGGGGGAACGUGCUUGGAGCCUUAUCAGAGGCUCAGGUCGUUAAUCAGGUCGGAGGCGACUCCAGAGGACUCGACCGGAGGAGUCGCUCAGUCAAACGCAAGUCCGACAGUCUUUAGAAUGCUCUAAGAUAUAGAGGACAACCAUCCCUACAUUCAUUCUUUCGUUCAUUGCAUUUAUAUCCCAUCUCUUUCUCCAAGAAGUUCAGGGUGGUACACAUCAUCUUUCCCCUCCUCACAUCAUCUUUCCCCUCCUCACCAAUCCCUACAACAACCCUGUGAGAUAGGUGUUGUAAUGAGCUGAAUCGAACAGGCUUCCUCAACCUCGGCCCUCCAGAUGUUUUGAGACUACAGUUCCCAUCAUCCCUGACCACUGGUCCUGCUAGCUAGGGAUCAUGGGAGUUGUAGGCCAAAAACAUCUGGAGGGCCAAGGUUGAGGAAGCCUGGAAUAGAGUAAAAGAUUAAGAGUCAUAGGAGUGUUGAUGCAUGAACUUAACAGUGCUUAGUUUGAGGGUUUUUUUGGUUGCUGUUUCAUUAAUCUUAGUAUUGUUUCAUAGAUUAUAAAUGCUGUCUUCAUUUGUUACUCAUAUGACUUUUGCUUUAAUUGUGAUGUUGAGCUUAUCUUUAAAUCGCUGCUUUGUUAGCAGUACUUUAUAGAUCGUCUCACUGAUGAUUUGUUAAUUAUUUGAGAUGUUCUAUCGUGUCAUUCUUAUUUAUCAUUUGUAGGCCACUGUGAGAUUCAUCUGAAUGAAAAGCGGCAUACAAAUCUAAAAAUAAAUAAAUAGAUCAAAUCAACAGGUUAGGCCAAGAGGCAGUGACUGGCUCAGACGUAAGGUCAGCAUCAUUACUGGUUUUUCCUUUAGGAUAAAUUGCAAGGUGGGAUUUGGAUGUGGGUUUGGGCAGAGUAUUUUAUUUAUUUAUUGAAUUUAUAUACCACCCUAUACCCAGAGGUCUCAGGGCGGUUCACAGAACAAAGUAGGCAGAAGUCUGUAUAUGAACCAAAGUAGCAUAACUGAAACCAGGUAUGCUUCUGUGCCUUGAAGUAUUGUAAAACAUUUUAUUACUUCUGUUAUCUACAAAACUGCUGUAUCGUACCCACCUGCUCCUCAACUGGCUGCGUCGGAGAUUGUCAUCAUUCAGGUACGUUUGUAUCUGUGGUGGCAGUGAAAAUAAAGGUGGUUUCAAACAUCUCUUCAGUUCAUGCUCUCCCUCCCACUGACAGGAGCUAGAAGGAGUGCCAGCUUGGCCCCGCGACCAUGGGUGCCAGGGGCUGCGGGUGCCAUGCAGAGUGCCUGGCCCUGGAACCAAAAUGUGUGGGUGCCCGGCCUCUUCAGGGGGGAUUUUGUGGGUGCUCAGGGCCCCAGGGAGUUGGCACCUAUGGGAGCUAGUGUGCGGUGGGUGUCUGUCAGGAGUUCAGCCUACACUCGAGUAGGACCCUGGCAGAGACACAUGCCCGACUGGCAUGUUCUUUCCCUCCUGGUCGAUCGUUCGGGAGCUUCAAAAGCUUUCUUCAGCCCAAACAUCACAGUGACCGAUGCCAGCUGACACCAGCACACUUAAGGAUCCGCAGAGUGUGCGUGACAGAACCCCAGCAACUCAGCAUUUUAGCUAAUCCACUUUAUUUACAUAUAAACACGCACGGAGCACUGCAACAUGGCUCCCUCUCUCUCUAGCAAAGAACAAAGGACAAUAGUCCCACUUCACGGAACACAGUAACACAAACAUCCUGUCUUCGUCACUUCCCACUCUGUGGAGUCAAAACAUAUACCGUCAUGUGAAAGACAAAAAUCCCAUGACUGCAGCCAUAGAUCAGGAAUUCUAACAGCGUAUGUGUUGGGAAAGUGGGGUCUUGCCACAGGUUUGUAGGAAAGGUAUUACAGUGGUACCUCGGGUUAAGUACUUAAUUCGUUCUGGAGGUCCGUUCUUAAUCUGAAACUGUUCUUAACCUGAAGCACCACUUUAGCUAAUGGGGCCUCCUGCUGCCGCUGCGCUGCUGGAGCACGAUUUCUGUUCUUAUCCUGAAGCAAAGUUCUUAACCCGAGGUAAUAUUUCUGGGCUAGCAGAGUCUGUAACCUGAAGCGUAUGUAACCCGAGGUACCACUGUACAAGAUUGGUACCAACCAAUUGCUCUCUCUCUCUCUCUCUCUCUCUCUUUGUCCAAAGAUUCCUCGUGACCUUCCAGAUUCAGGUUUGCUGUGCUGCUCAUGGGCUUGAUCGCUCCCAGUCCAAACCUGUCAAUGGGCCAGAAGAUAACCUGGACAGCCUCCUUAAAUGCCUCCUGUGCCAUCUGCAGUCUUUCUUGCUCUUCACAAUGGCUGCUGUCCUUGGCAGGCUUCUUCCUCUUUCAGCCAUUUGCUUUGAGCAGACUAUUCUUUCGCCCGACAUUUAAUUGUGUCAAACGCCGCAGCGCCGCAACAAUGCAGCUUCUCAGGAGCAAAUGGAUGUCUUUAUGGGAAACAAAAGACAUAUUGAGGCAACAAGUGGGAGAGACAUCCUCACACACUCCCUUUUCUUCAGGGUCUCCACUUGGAGGCCAACUGGUGUGAAACAAACUGAAUGGCUUGCAAAUCUCUGUAUUUUCUUCCUUAAUGGUGAGGACAAUCACUGAGGGGGGGAGGGAGUCUGUUUUUCUUUUAAAGAUGCCAUUUCCAUGGUCUGUAGGGGAGUAUGUGAGGAAAUUUUGUUCGUCUUGUAAUGACAUUAAUUUUUCAUAAUUAAAGGCUUCAUUUGUUCAUUGGCUCAUUUGUUAAAACUGCAUUCAGCUUGUUCCUUAAGGGCACAUACGUUUCGUUACUUGCAAUAUUCUCAGGUUCAAUGUGCUUGUUGAACACUCCCCCCCAUCACAAUAGACUUUUCUUUUUGGAGGUGGCUGCCAAUUUUUACCCACAAUGCCUCAAAACGAUGCAUCAUUCAGGACUUUUGUGUGAGUGUGUAGGUAAUACUCCUGCAGCUUCCAAAACUUCCCCUAUUCAUAACAGUAUGAACUGUAGUUCCAAACUGGAAUCCCAUUCAUUCUGAUUUGUGCUUUAUAUUCAUUUUGGAACGCAUUAAAAUCUAACCCAAAGGGCCUUGUUCAGUUCAAUUUUUCAUGCAUUCCAAAACAAAGGACUGCUUGCAUUCAUAUAACCAUGCCUGGACUUUGAGAUCAGCCUCUGAGGCCCUGAUUUCCAGCCCAUCAAUUAGGGAUGGCAGGCUGAUGGGCAGCGAUGAGCCAAUCUGUCAAUUUCAGUUUCUCUCAGUUUCUCAUUUCCCAGUCUUAAAUUCAGUUCCCCACAUUUCCAUGUCAGCUUGCAAUUCUUUAAAAAGGAAGUCCUCAAGAAAAUCCAUUGGUUAUUUUCUCCUAAUAGACACAUCCUGCCCACCCCCCAUGCAAUUUUGCCAGAUAUACACAGUUUUGCAAUUUAUAGUUAUUAUUAUUAAUUGAAUUUGUAUACCGCCCUUUAUCCAAAGAUCACAGGUCGGUUCACAUCAUACAAAAUACAAAAUGGGAAUACAAAAUACAGGAUGAUGAUAAUGAUAAACCAAUAGCUUACUAAAAAACCCCACUGAUUUCUUACAACUAUGGAAUGGGUAUUGUGUUGUGCCUGUAAGAUUACCAGAUCUGUAGGUCGAAGUGAUUGAGUGGGCAUAUACGUAUCUCUCAGGUAAAAUGGUCCCAAGUUAAGGGUUUCAUAUACAGUGGUACCUCAGGUUACAGACACUUCAGAUUACAGACGCUUCAGGUUACAGACUCCACUAACCCAGAAAUAGUACCUCGGGUUAAGAACUUUGCUUCAGGAUGAGAACAGAAAUCGUGCUCCGGCGGCGCAGGAGGCCCCAUUAUCUAAAGUGGUGCUUCAGGUUAAGAACAGUUUCAGGUUAAGAACGGACGUCCGGAACAAAUUCAGUUCUUAAUCUGAGGUACCACUGUACAUAGUUUCUGUGUCUGAGAAACUGGCCAACUGCCUGCCCUGGAUGAGGUUGCCCUCCCCUCAAAGGAUCUCGUUCACAGUCUUUGGCAUUGGUGCCAACUCCUAGGGACCAGGUAAGCUCAAUAAAAUAUUUGAGGAGACCACCCCCACAAAGUUGAUGGGCAUUGCUAUUCAGCAACAUGUCAUGUGAUUGAUUAUGUACCUGGCCUUCCCAGUAUUUUAUGCAAGCUGGCACACCUGGUCAGGAGAUGCUUCUGGAUUCUGUUCUGCCUCUGGAGGCUCAGGUAGCCUCAGCGGCUAGAAGUACCUUUUACCAGGCUUGAUUAUUGUAACUCACUCAACGCGGGGCUGCCCUUGAAGCUGACCCAGAAAUUCCAGCGGGUGCAGAAUGCCGCAGCGAGACUCCUUACGGGGUCCUUGCCGCGGGAUCACAUUCAUCCAGUGCUUUACCAGCUGCACUGGCUCCCGGUGGAGUACAGGGUCAGGUUUAAGGUGCUGGUUUUGACCUUUAAAGCCCUAUGCGGCCUAGGACCCAAGUACCUACGGGACCGCCUCUCCUGGUAUGUCCCACGGAGGACCUUAAGGUCCACAAAUGACAACACUUUGGAGGUCCCAAGUUGCAAAGUGGUUAGAUUGGUCUCAACUAGGGCCAGGGCCUUUUCAGUCCUGGCCCCGACUUGGUGGAAUGCUCUGUCACAAGAGACUAGGGCCCUGAGGGACUUGAAAUCUUUCUGCAGGGUCUGCAAGGCAGAGCUGUUCCGCACUCCUCAUAAGGUUUAGUUUCUAGACUUCAAGACUUGAUUACUGCAAUGUGCUUUUUGUGGGGCUUCCCUUGCACUUGAUCUGGAGCCCGCAGGUAGUGCAGAAUGCUACAGCACAGGAAUGAGGCCUUGUCAGCCUGUCACACCUGAACUUAAAGAUCUGCCCUGGCUGCCCAUCUGCUGCCAGUCCUGGAUAUUAGUAUACAAAGCCCUUAAUAAAUUGGGACCCGUUUACCUACGAGAUCACUUUGCCCCACAUGCACCCACUCAAACCACAAGUGCCCAUGCAAUGGCUUUGAUCAGCAGGACUGGCACUACUACAGAUAACACCUGUUCACAUUUGUAAGAAUUUGGCCCUUUAGUAUGGCAGUACUUACAUUUUGGAGCUUCCUGCCUUCACUGUGUUCUUUUUUGUGCCUGCUGAAAAUUCGAGCGUAGCCAAGCCCUCCCAGAUGCUUAGAAAUGCUGAACUUUAAUCUGUUUUAGUAUUUUAACUUCUUGUAUGUUUUAAUGCACUGUGAUUCCCCCCCCCCCGAAAAAACAAGGUGCUUUUGCUUUUUUUAAAUGCCUCAGUAUUUUAGAUUCAUGAGAUAAAAUAUAUAAAUGUACUAAGGGUAACACCUUGUGAUUAUAUUUGCAAAGAGACUCCAUCCGUCUAGAUAAGACGUGUGUGUAACCGGUUCUCUGUUCUUCUCUUCUGGAUCUCCAGAAGAGGGCAGGAAACAAAUAGGAUACUUUGGAAAUAUUCGAAUAGGAGGGGGGAAGAAAACGACUUUGUUGGGGUCUGCUCUGUGUUGUACUUAGCUGAAUGAUUAAUCCAGCCCUGACCCAAUAAUUCUCCGAGAGAGAGGCAGGCCUCUCUGGGGAGGCAUAAACAGUUGCCAGGGGAGGCACAAGAUUACAUUGUCCCUGUGUUUUUUAUCGGCUUGGAUUUCUCCGUUUCCUGAAACCAGGUCUGCAGCUGCGAUUUGGCUCUAGGUUUUGUGCUUUAAUUUCCUCAGGGGGUUGUGUAGUAAUUAGAAUGAAUGAUAAUUUAUAGUUCGCAAGCUUCCGAGCUCCUUAAGAAAAAGAGAGGACAACAAACUAUCACAAGCACAAGCAAUAUCCUAGAACUCUCCUCGGUGGCGGCGGUGUCAAGAGAAGAUUGUGUGGAACAGCAGCCAACAGGAGCUGGGUUUGGCCAGCAAGGGGUGCAUAAACAUCAUGCAUUUAAAACACAUGCCUUUGAGGCCCUUGGCUUCCUCCCAAGAAUCCAGGGAACUGUGGUUUAGCCCUCACAGAACUACAUUUCCCAGCAGCCAUAACAAACUACAGUUCCCAGAAUUCUUUGCAGGAAGCUACAUGUAUAGUGUGGUUUUUACACAGUCAAAGAGUCUCAAGGGGGACUGGGCUAGAUAGCCCUUGGGAUCCUUCCAACCAGUUUUAGGGUAGCACGACCAGUACAACUGCACUGGGCGCCUGAGCCCAAACUCUGGCACUGUUCCAGCCUUGUGGCUCUAUGAUUCUAAGACAACAUCUGUGUGGCAAAAUGCCAACGUUUUAGGGAGACGUUAAAAACAAAAGUCAAUCUCAUGUAGCUAGUUCUGUUUUAAUUUACUUGGGCAGAGUGUUUAGUUUCAGAGCAUGUGCAGAGUUUCUUGCAGAAAAGACGACCAGAGAGAGAAUUUUUGGACACAUGGCUGGAUGCUUCUCAGAGGCAAAUACUCAAGGUGAAGCCUAGCAUAUUUAUGGGAAUUUGAGACCAGUAACAACAACCGUAUAGUUAAAGCUAUGGUUUUCCCAGUAGUGAUGUAUGGAAGUGAGAGCUGGACCAUAAAGAAGGCUGAUCGCCUAAGAAUUGAUGCUUUUGAAUUAUGGUGCUGGAGGAGACUCUUGAGAGUCCCAUGGACUGCAAGAAGAUCAAACCUCUCCAUUCUGAAGGAAAUCAGCCCUGAGUGCUCACUGGAAGGACAGAUCCUGAAGCUGAGGCUCCAGUACUUUGGCCACCUCAUGAGAAGCGAAGAUUCCCUGGAAAAGACCCUGAUGUUGGGAAAGAUGGAGGGCACAAGGAGAAGGGGACGACAGAGGACGAGAUGGUUGGACAGUGUUCUCGAAGCUACCAGCAUGAGUUUGACCAAACUGCGAGAGGCAGUGGAAGACAGGAGUGCCUGGCGUGCUCUGGUCCAUGGGGUCAUGAAGAGUCGGACACGACUAAACGACUAAACAACAACAACAACCAACCCCUUAUUGGAGAUGCUGGGCUGUCAUGGGAAACAGGACACUGGACCAGCUAAGGUAUUGGUCUAAUCCAGCAGGGGUCUUCAUAUGUUUCCUGACAAAGUGUGAAAUGCUACCCUUUGCAAUGACUGCGUUUGAUGAAAGUUCGGCUUGCUUUGCUUGAUUUGGAAAGGCUUUAUCACACACGAAAGUUGCCACUAGACAACACAGGCAUUGCUAUGAGCAUGCAUAUGUAAAUCAGUUCUUGGGGAUGUCAUGGAUUCACUGUUUGUCCUGAGCCACUAGCUGUGGUUCAGGAUCAGCCUGGCUAAGCGAAGCCACAGUGCUGGCUUAUGAAUUCAUAAACGCAGACUGGAGUAGUAGAUUGGAUUUUUGCAAGCAAGCCUAUGCUUGCAAAAUGACAGGUCUUAAAUUGAAACUCAGCAACCAGAGGAAAUUUGUUUUACAGCAUUACUUACAAUAUAGAACUCUGGCCCACGGCCCUAAUUAGAUCCUGCAAGCAUCCUAAAGUGGCCCAUGGGGUUUCCCCCCCUAAACCACACCCACCUGCCCCACACCUGACACCAUAAAACUGCACUUCCAGUUGUUCCUUGAAAAGCUUUGAAGUUAUUGCCUGGACAUCAUAAGGAUAUCAUGUGGCUGACAGGUGGACAACUGUUCCCGUCUGUCAAAUUGCCCUGCAGAGCGUUGGGAAGUUCAGUAUGUGGCCCACUGAUCCAGAAUCUAACCCCUGAUAUAGAUACGUGAAUAUAGUCAGGCUACAAAAAAACACGAUAAAACAUCAAACAUUAAAAACUUCCCCAAACAGGGCUGCCUUCAGUUGUCUUCUAAACCUCAGAUAGUUGUUUAUUUCCUUGACAUCUGAUUGGAGGGUGUUCCACAGGGCGGGUGCUACCACCCAGAAGGCCCUCUGCCUGGUUCCCUGUAACCUCACUUCUCACAGGGAGGGAACCGCCAGAAGGCCCUUGGCGUUGGACCCCAGUGUCUGGGGCUGAACCAUGCGGUUGGAGAUGCUCUUUCAGGUAUACUGGGCUGAGGCCAUUUAGGGCUUUAAAGGUCAGCACCAACACUUUGAAUUGUGCUCGGAAACGUACUGGGAGCCAAUGUAGAAUUUUCAGGACCGAUAUUAUACAGUGGUGCCUCGCAAGACGAAAUUAAUCCGUUCCGCAAGAGUCUUCGUCUAGCGGUUUUUUCGUCUUGCGAAGCAAGCCCAUUGACGGAUUAGCGCUAUUAGCGCUAUCAGCUGUUUAGCGGCUAUUAAAGGCUUAAAGGCUUAGGGAUUAGCUGCUAAAAGGCUAUUAAAGGCUAUUAAAGGCUUAGCAGAUUAGAUAAAGGGGGAAAAGCGAAAAAAAUCUCUAGACUCGCAAGGUAUUUUCGCCUUGCAGGCAAGCCCAUAGGGGAAUUCGUCCUGCGAAGCAACUUCAAAACGGAAAACCCUUUCGUCUAGCGGUUUUUCCGUCUUGCGAGGCAUUCGUCUUGCGGGGCACCACUGUAUGGUCUCAGUGGCCAUAUAGGAGGAACAACAGAAGCCACUCUCUCCUGUGCUCAUUAGGUUAUAUUCCCUCCAUCAAAAAGCCUCCAUCCAGGCAAACAAGAGGCCUAAUACCAAUUCAAGGGCAAUGUUCCAGCAGGGGUCAGAGUGGUGUAAGACCUCAGGAGAGGGGACAUGGCCCGACAUGAACUCCAGUUAUCUGAUGGCCACACAAAGAUGCCUUGAGGGCCUUGUGUUGCCCCUAGACCAGCAGUUGUCCAUUGCUGCUUUACGGAAAAAUCUUACAGUCCACCACUACAAACACACGAUGAAAUUAAUGGGUGUUAAAAGAGAUUAAUGCUGACUGGCUUGUACCCCACAUUCUCAGGAGGCCAUUUUGUCACUACAAUCAUUCCCGUUGAUGUCACCUUUGGGCACACAACAUGGUCGAUGUUUUUCUCUGCCACAAAUUGCUUUAAUUCUGCAGCUUGGAAAACCGCCGUUUGCAGCGGAGUCGUGAGUGACCUACUUCUUUCCCUUCCUACCUGCAUUUUUGCAGUCACUCAGGCCACGGAUAUGCCUGAAAUUAAUAACUGUAAGACACUUUGACAAAAGGGAAUCACAGAUCUUCUCUUUGUUAGCCUAUUAACCAUCACAGGUUAAUAAGUUUCCAAAGAGCUUUGGAAUCUCACCCAUAUUUUCUCGCUGCAAUCCCUUUUGAAGUCGAGAGCAAAACUCCCACUGGUUUUAGUGGGGCAGGACUGCAGCCUCUGUGCUCGUCGUGUAAGUAAUAUUGUGCCCUCUAUCCACAAGAGCAAAGGGAGUCUUGUUAAGCUAGAAAUAUCAACACACUGGGUUAAGGAUCGUGUAAAGGCUGGUGGAACGGGAUGAGUAAUUACAUUUUGCAAAUCAUGAUGGUCUUCUGGUCAGAUUCUGGCACAAAUGCAAAAUCCACAGAGUGACAAGAAUUUGAACAGGGCAUAAAAAUACCUUAAGGUACCACCCAGUCCUGUGCUUGCAAUUCUGUCCUCCUUUUUGCUCUUCAAAAUAUGGCAACCCUUUUGCGUGGCUGGAAUGUAGCUUAUGGUACAAAGUUGAGGGCCAUGCCUCUGGCCCUCCUUUGCCUCUGGCCCUAGCCACCCCAUCAUGUGGCCCCCUGGGACAUUUCCCAGGAUACUGCAUUUCAUUCCCCUUCCUCUCCCCAGUUGCUUCCCUCCAGUCAGUCAGUAUUCUCUGCUCAUGAGCAGAAGUGGUGCAUCCCAUUUCUUUCUCUCUCUAAUUUUUUUUUACUUUUUUACAUUUAAUAUUAUACAUUCACAUCAUCAUUAUCCACAAUACCGCCCUGGCUCUUUAGAGCCUGUCGACUUCCUUCCCUCCCGCCUCAUGGCUUUUGAAAGUAACCUUUAUAUCAUUGCGAUUUAUACGUUUUCCAAUUACACUCAUUACAGAAUAUCUCAAAAUUUAAGUAAAUAUAGAAAGGUAGAAAAUUUCUCAUUACAAGUCCUCAGACAACCCUGCUAGUGAUGUUAAUGGCUUACAAUAAUCUUUCACAUAUUGCAUAAAUUUACUCCAAUCCUUUUGGAAUACAGUGGUACCUCUGGUUAAGUACUUAAUUCAUUCCGGAGGUCCGAUCUUAACCUGAAACUGUUCUUAACCUGAAGCACCACUUUAGCUAAUGGGGCCUCCUGCUGCCACCACCGCACAAUUUCUGUUCUCAUCCUGAAGCAAAGUUCUUAACCCGAGGUUAUAUUUCUGGGUUAGCGGAGUCUGUAACCUGAAGCGUAUGUAACCCAAAGCAUAUGUAACCCGAGGUACCACUGUACUUGAUCAUGCUGGUUUCGGAUUUUUCCUGUCAGCUUCGCCAGUUCUGCAAAGUCCAUCAUCUUCAUCUGCCACUCUUCUUUCGUUGGUACUUCUUGUUGUUUCCAUUUUGGGACUAAAAGAAUUCUUGCCACAGUUGUUGCAUACAUAAACAGUCUUUUAUCUUCUCUUGGUAUCUCUUCACCCACUAUACCCAGUAAAAAGGCUUCUGGUUUUUUGACAAAAGUAUUUUUAAACAUUUUUUCUUUAACUCAUUAUAGACCAUUUACCUCUUUACAUGUCCACUGCAUGUGGUAGAAGAUACCUUCCCUUUCUUUACAUCCCUAACACUCAUUAGUUCUUGUCUUGUACAUUUUAGCCAAUUUGGCUGUUGUUGAAUACCACCUGUACAUCAUUUUCAUCACAUUUUCUUUAAGUGCACUGCAUGCAGUGAAGUUAAUACCGUACCUUCCUUCCACAAUCUUUCCCAGGAUUCUAACUGAAUAUUAGAUCCAAAAUCAUUGGCCCAUUGUAUGAUCACCCAUUUGACUUCCUCGUCCUUAGUAUGCCAUUCCAAUAACAAUUUAUACAUUUUCGAUAACAUCUUCCUAUUAUCAUCCAAUAGUUCUCUCUCAAAUCUAGAUCCUACUGUAUCAAAACCCAUUUCAGCGCUUGAGCUUAAACAGUAAGUAAGUAAAUUUUUAUUUAUACCCCACCCUCCCCGGCCAAGACCGGGCUCAGGGUGGCUAACAUCAAAUGUCAAAUACAAUCAAACAAUUGAUUAAAAUACAGCUUAAAAAUUAGAAUCAGGAUAAAAUUAAAUGACUGCCCAUGAAAUUACAACCAUCGGGGUCGGGAACCUCAAGUAUUCAUCAGGGCUAGCUAUGUUGCUUCCACAUGAGCCGAUAAAAGGGCCAAAGAUGGAACUGACAGGGUCCCACAGAGGGGGGUCAAACUGGGCCCGGACCAAAGGCCAGGCAGAACAACUCCAUCUUGCAGGCCCUGUGGAAGAAUAUCAAGUCCUGCAGGGUCCUAGUCUCCUGCGAUAGUGUGUUCCACCAGGCUGGGGCCAAAGCCGAAAAGGCCCUGGCCCUGGUUGUUGCAUACAUAAACAGUCUUUUAUCUUCUCUUGGUAUCUCUUCAGGAAGCGCCACUUUGCUCUGCCCUGCCUUGCUGCCACCACUGCUGCCAUACCCACCACCGUCAAUACUGCUUCUCCACCUGCCCCGCCACCUCAAACCACUGGUGGAGAAGCUGGGUCAGCAUUGGUGCCAGUUUCAGGCAAUAUCGCACCAAAAUUGUGCAAGGUCUUGCGGGCUCUGAAAGGCCUCGCAUGAUUUCGGCUGGAAUUGGUGCCAAUACCUGUGUCACUUCUGGUGGUGGUAGGGCAAAAACCUUGGUGGUUUCUGCUGCCUAAGGCAGCUGCCGGCUCUACUCUGUCCUCAACUGACCUAUUUGGGACUCUUUCCCGCAUAGAGUCCCCCCCCCCCAUAUUGUUUGCCCUUCAGCUAAUUGUGGGAUUUCCACAUCCCUGCUAAUCCCUCGCCUUUGUGCACAGAUGGGGCUGCUUUGGUCUCGCAGUGAUCCACACGCAGAGAAUGAGUAAUGAGUUCAUUAUUUGUAUAUGCCAUUUUAUCCCAUCUUUGCAGCAAGUAGCUCAGGGCAGCACGCAUGGAUCUCUCCAGACCUGUCCCCCACCCCCCCGUCAAGCAGCCGCAUGUGGUAGUUAAGGCUGAGAGAGAUGGCGGGAGAGCACAUUCAGACAGCACUUUAUUCCAUUUUCUCUACAUUUCCUUACCAGAUAAUUUCCGAGUUUUAUGUGAUCUUUCAUAGUAAAAGCCUUUUCUGGAAAUCUAGCAGAAUCUAGUGGAAGUUUAGCUCUCAUUUCCAUGUUAAUAGCUUUUUUAAAAAAAACCAUUUUCAACCCUGUUAACCCAAAAAAUCAUGGGAGUUUUGCAUCGUAUUUUUGCGUGUGAAGACCCCCAAAACCACCCCCAAAUGAAGACACUAUUGACACAGAUUUUAGUUUAAGGUUUUUGGCAUUAAUUUUGGCCACAACUUUAUUGAUUACAACAUGUGAGUGGUUGCUUAGGCAUUGGUUCCAGGCUACCUGAACCUGCACGGUGGCAGGAACAGGACUGACACUGGGUUCCACCAUAUGUCAGUAAGGGAAAGCAUCCUGGGGGAGCGAGAACUCCUUCGAUCUCACAGCUCACCCCAGAUGCUCCCAGGGGCUCUUGCGUGGUCCUAGCCCCUUGACAGGGUUCAGACAAAAGCAAGGUGAGCCCCUGGAUUCCUUUAACGAAAUUCCCUAGUAGCAGCAAUGGAGGGGUAGGCACAGCCAACCAUGUCCCCUCCCCAAAACAUUGAACCAAAUGCCUAACCGCCAACCUUACAAAGUUGUGACAAUUUGCUACAUGGUAGGCAAAAACCAGGGAUGCGGGUGGUACUGUGGUCUAAACCACAGAGCCUAGAGCUUGCUGAUCAGAGGGUCGGCAGUUCAAAUCCCUGCAACGGGGUGAGCUCCUGUUGUUCGGUCCCAGCUCCUGCCCAGCUAGCAGUUCGAAAGCAUGUCAAGUGCAAGUAGAUAAAUAGGUACCUCUCCGGUGGGAAGGUAAACGGUGUUUCUGUGCGCUGCUCUGGUUCGCCAGAAGCAGCUUAGUCAUGCUGGGCACAUGACCCGGAAGCUGUCUGCGGACAAACGCUGGCUCCCUUGGCCUAUAGAGUGAGAAGAGUGCCACAACCCCAGAGUCGUCCACAACUGGACCUAAUGGUCAGGGGUACCUUUACCUUUAGGCAAAAACCAAGUGGCACCAGCCAAUCAGUCAAAUGGCAAAAUUCCUACCGGGCCCCUGCUCCAAAACAGAUGACCCCUAGACAGGCAUAGCAAGGCCAGAAAAACAACCCUAAAAUAUAGGGAGAGGAGGGCAGGUGAUCCGCUGGACGUCACAAGAAAGUGAAACUCCCUAGCGACAUGCAGCAGUUUAAAUAGCGCCUCGGCAGCCAAUAGCCAACCCAACUCGCCAAAUUUCUAUCCCAGCAACAGUGGGGCAACCAAUGGGGUGUUGUGGCCAUCCAAACAGUCCUGCCCCACAACAGAGAGGCGGUUUCUGGUGAUCUCACCGCAACACAUGCCCUCCAUGAUGGAUGACCUGAUUUCUGACUGUUUCCACGAAUCAUGCCACCGCCCUCUGGUGUAAUGAAAUUUAUGGAAGUAUUCCAGCAUACAAUUCUUUCCUGUAGUUUUCAUGGGGAAUCGGGGGAAACUGAAGUGUACACGUGUAUAUAGGGUGGUGACAUUUGAUGGGUGCAAAUGAAAUUUGCGUGGUGGCAUAGCAACCAGAAAGCCACUGUUCCAUAACUCAAUUGGUAAUAUAGAGCCAAAGGAACGUUAGAAGCCAAGACAGAACAUUAUCAGGAAAAUUAAUGCAAUAAAACCCAUGUCUGAAUGCACCCCAAGACUGACAUGGGGCUGAAUGGUGAUUUGAAUUCGGGUCUCCCCCGACUUAGUCCAGUGUCUUAAUUGCUACACCCUGGCUCCAUCAGUGUGCAUUGCCUUUUAAAGGUAAAGGUAAAGGGACCCCUGACCAUUAGGUCCAGUCGCGGACGACUCUGGGGUUGCGGUGCUCAUCUCGCUUUAUUGGCUGAGGGAGCUGGCGUACAGCUUCCGGAUCAUGUAGCCAGCAUGACUAAGCCACUUCUGGCGAACCAGAGCAGCACACAGAAACGCCAUUUACCUUCCUGCCGGAGCGGUACCUAUUGAUCUACUUGCACUUUGACGCACUUUCAAACUGCUAGGUGGGCAGGAGCAGGGACCAAGCAAUGGGAGCUCACCCCAUUGCGGGGAUUCAAACCGCCGACCUUCUUAUUGGCAAACCUUAGGCUCUAGGCAAGCCCACAGUGCCACCCGCAUCCCACAUUGCCUUUUACAGGGUCUCUAAAGAGGAAAACUCCAGAAUUAAUACAAAUUUCUCUACAGAAGUUUAAAAUAGUCAGGCUAAUAAGAACUUUUUUUUGACUAUUUAUAAAUGCAGCAGUAUGCUUCUCAAGUGCAAAUUAAAGAGAUAUAUUUAGCUUUCUGUUGGGAGUUGUGGAAUCAGCAUCAAAUACAAGGGAACUGGCAUGAGAAUUCUCGCAUUUCUUAUGCUAAAUUUUAAAAAGAAAAGAAAAGAAAAAAGAAUUGGGCAAACACUUGUGAAAAACACCCAAAUAUUCUUUGCUCUUUGGGGAAACGCAUUUGUUCAGAGAUCCUGAGUGACAGCCAAGUGUUAACACAGGAAGAAUGUCAGACCACUGGUCCAUCGAGCUCAGCAUUGUCUACCUAAAUCGUGCUUUUACCUGCCUCCCAUCUGUUGGAGUUGGGCAUAUUUAACUGCACAGCAUGGAAAUACAUACAGUCGUACUUUGGUUGUCAAACUUAAUCUGUUCCGGGAGUCUGUUUGACUCCUGAAACGGUUCAAAAACCAAGAUGUGGCUUCCAAUUGGCUGCAGGAGCUUCCUGCUCUCAAUCGGAAGCUGCAGAAGUCACAUCGGACGUUCGGCUUCCGAAAAGCGUUCACAAACCGGAACACUCACUUCUGGGUUUGUGGCGUUCAGGAGCCAAAAUGUCCGUGUACCAAGGCAUUCGAGAACCAAGGUAUGACUGUAGGCUGAUAAGACUGCUAGUUGAAAGAAUAAAGACACUUAAGGUAUAUUCCUUUGGCAAGCAAAGCCAUUCUGUAGCCAUCAUGGAAUCAUUGGGUUAAUCCACCUUUUGAGUCCACAGCUCCCUUGACCAACUACAUUCAUUGGGAGGUACCCCUGUGGGGCUCAGGAGCCCAGUUAUGUCACCCCUUGCCUGCAGAGCUAGCAGCCAGGGAAGAACAGAUCACUUUUCUGUCUAUCGCCACACACUGGUGGAGGUAAUAAUAAUAAUAAUAAUAAUAAUAAUAAUUUAUUUGUACCCUGCCCAUCUGGCUGGGUUUCCCCAGCCACUCUGGGAGGCUUCCAACAAAGAUUAAAAAUACAUUAAAAUGUCACACAUUAAAAACUUCCCUAAACAGGGCUGCCUUCAGAUGUUUUCUAAAUGUCAGGUAGUUGUUCUUCUCUUUGGCAUCUGAUGGGAGGGCGUUCCACAGGGGAGGUGCCACUACCGAGAAGGCCCUCUGCCUGGUCCCCUGUAGCUUUGCUUCUCGCAGUGAGGGAACCGCCAGAAGGCUCUUGGUGCUGGACCUCAGUGUCCAGGCAGAACGAUGGGGGUGAAGACGCUCCUUCAGGUAACUUACUGCCAGUGUUAUUGUAUAUCACAGACAGCACCUGACAUCACAUUUGUAACCAGAGGCAGGAUAGGUGGUUGUUGUCUGUAGGAUUGGAUUUGGGCCCUAGGAAAGGAUAUUUUGUUUUGUUAUUACCCUUCCUUGCUCAUGUUCAUGAGAUCAGCAGAGUGCCAUCCUUUGCAGGUUAAACUUGGAAGCUAGGACAAGGUUGGUUUGACCUUCUAGGAACAGUAAUCCAGGAUUCUUUAAGCAGACUGGAUUUUCUCUGGUAUUACACACCCUCCAACAUUUCUCCAGUGAAAAUAGGGAUGUCCUAUUCAACAACAACAACAAUUUUAUUAUUUCUAGCCCACCCAUCUGACUGGGUUUACCUCAGUCACUCUAAGGUGGCUUCCAACAUAUAUAAAAACAUAAUAAAAUGUUAAACAUUUUUAAAAACUUCCCUAUACAGGACUGCCUUCAGAUGUCUACUAAAGGUUGUGUAGUUACUUAUCUCCUUGGCUUGGGUGUUGUAUAAUUCCAUACCCUUCAAUGAAAAUAGGGACGUCCUACCAUACCCUCCAACAUUUCUCAGCUGAAAAUAGGAACGUCCUGAGGAAAAGUGGGACGUUCUGGAUCAAAUCAGUAACCGGGAUGGCUUCUGUAAAUCUGGGACUUUCCCUGGAAUAUAGGGACACUUGGAGGGUCUGGUAUUACCCCUAUUCUCUCCCUAAAAAAUAACAAUCAAACACACAUGGUUUUGUGAAGAAAUAAAAUUAGGAAGUACUUACAUAAUCUAGGUCUCAAAGCAGCAAUUACAGCAGCAAAAUGAAGGCAGGUUUAUAACGACUACCUAAGUUACAAAAGUACAAAAUGUAAGUACAAAAAUGGUGUCUGAGCUGCAGAGCUCAGGCAUGCAUGUAUGGCCAGCUUGGAAGCAUGAUGAAGAAAGAGAGAGAUGUUCAGGCAGGCAGGAAGUAUGUAGUGUUGCAGCUUCCUUCCAAGGCAAAGGAAGUGACCUCACAGAGUCCUCUCUAGCAAAUUUUACGGGAUAGCUCUGUGAGCCUCAGCCCCUUUCAUGUGCCCCUCUAGCAAAGCAUGAAUUGGUAAUUUGACUGUAAUAGUGUCCUACUAUUUGGAGAACUUGUCUUGUGGGUCAAAUUAAGACUCCUACCAGACCCAUGGACCAGAGGUCCUCCACCCCUAGUCUAUACUGACUAGUAGUGCAUGCCCAGGAUUUCAGAAUCGGGUCUCUCCUUGUCUUACCUGAAGAUGCAGAGCAGAAACUCCGCCACUGAGCAAUGGUCCUUCUCUUUCUUUCUUUCUUUCAGUAAAAGUUUCCCUCCCACCUGCUUUCUCCCUUGGCACUGCUUGGCCCCUUUCCCCUGCACUGUUGCCUUGCUCCCUUUAUUUAACACAGAGGAGCAUCCCAGUCACUGAGCAUUCUUCCUCCGAGCUUGAGUGUUAACAAAGGCCUUGGAAUCCACUGCAGCCGACCUGACCUGGUCACUCCUUUGAUUCCCUGUCUGUAAAACAAUGCCUAUGUUCAAGUUUCUUGGCAGCCCGGAUUGGAUUUGAAGGUUGCUUUCCACUGGGUCAGUGAGCUGGCUUUGUGUUCAGUGGAGAAGCUUUUUAUCAGCUUGGCUGGCAUGUUUGUGUCAGAACUACAAAGCUGGGCUGAAAGCAGCUCUUGCUUUGAAUGGACAGGUUUAUGCCAGAGUGGCUGAAGGGUGAAUAGGCUCUUCGGAUUUUCAGAGUUACCAAGCCUAGGAAGUUGCCAGAGCUAGGAGUCUCACAUUCUUAAAAACACAUGCACAGACAUGGCUGGAAAAAAUGACCAGGAACAGAAGCUUUUCUAACGUCUCUGAAGACCAUUUCACACAUUCUAGCAGCAGCAUUAUCAUAGAUUGUCUCCUUCUAAGUUUUAUUCCAGAGUAGACCCACUGUCCCCUUCAUGGAUCACUGCCUUGCCGUGGCAAAGGGGCUUGAAUAACUCAGAGAAGCUAUGAACUAUGCCGAGCAGGGCACCCAAGACAGGCUCCAUGAUCACUGCAGAUGGUGACAGCAGCCACGAAAUUAAAAGACACCUGCUUCUUGGCAGAAAAGCAAUGACAAACCUAGACAGCAUCUUAAAAAGUAGAGACAUCACCUUGCCAACAAAGGUCCGUAUAGUAAAAGCUAUGGUUUUCCCAGUAGUGAUGUAUGGAAGUGAAAGCUGGACCAUAAAGAAGGCUGAUCGCCAAAGAAUUGAUGCUUUUGAAUUAUGGUGCUGGAGGAGACUCUUGAGAGUCCCAUGGACUGCAAGAAAAUCAAACCUCUCCAUUCUGAAGGAAAUCAGCCCUGAGUGCUCACUGGAAGGACAGAUCCUGAAGCUGAGGCUCCAAUACUUUGGCCACCUCAUGAGAAGAGAAGACUUCCUGGAAAAGACCCUGACGUUGGGAAAGAUGGAGGGCACAAGGAGAAGGGGACGACAGAGGACGAGAUGGUUGGACAGUGUUCAUGAAGCUACCAGCAUGAGUUUGACCAAACUGCGGGAGGCCGUGGAAGACAGAAGUGCCUGGCGUGCUCUGGUCCAUGGGGUCACGAAGAGUUGGACACGACUAAACGACUAAACAACAAGACCCACUGAAUUAAAAUAUCAGAGUUUGCCAUGACUAUUAAAUGUGUCUGCUCUGAGUAGGGCUAGCAUUGAAGUUAACCCAAUAAAAAUAAUUAUAGUUAUGCUAUAUAUUUUGUCUGGCUAUCUGCCUGCUAUCUCUCUUAAUAUAAUGUAACAAAAUGUGGUGUUAGGGUUCCUGAGGAGCAGGCUUUGUCCAUGGUUGGAUAUAGCCAGGAACCAUUUUGAACCAAACUGGCAAAAUGAGCCUUUUGAAACAGCAAUGAUUUUAACUGCUGAUUUCAAAGCCACAAUGUUUUGGGGGGUUUCUUAGAUUUUCUGAGCAAUGCCAGGUAUGAAGCUGCUAGUAAUUGGUGUUGCAAAGUGCUUUUUUUUUUUUGCCAGGGAUACCUGUAUUUAUUUGUUUGUUUAUGUACACAUUCAUUCAUUUUUAUGGGCCUCGUCUCCUACCUUUCACCCUGACCAGUCUCAAGAUGAUCCAAAUCGAGGCUUCCGGGUUGGCGCCAUCGCCGAAUGGCGGACUCCCUCCGAGCUCCGGAGGGAGUCUGCUCGGCAGGGGCUGGGUCCUACCGCGCCGGCGACGCGGGGACCCUUAAAAACCACGGGCACGGAGUCCGUGGACAUGGGUGACUCGGCUUGCACCAUUAGCGCCCUCCCGACUCGUGAAGGAGCCUUUUAAAGGCUUCGGAUCGGGUGCCGGGGAGCGGCGUGGUGCUUUGAGUCCUCUGCUUUCCCUGCCGAGCGCAGCCGCAUGCCAUUCGACGGAGAGCGCUGACUUCUUCCAUUGAAAAUUUGGACUAUUAACAACAACCCGUGAGUAAUUGGGAAACCGGGUUCAAAAUUUCGGAUUUGGCACGAGCGGGGCGAUUUAAAAGGAAGUCAAUCCCCCCCCCCUACUGUAAGCAUUCCAAAACAAGGACUGGGUAACCAAGGUCCAAAGGGAAGUAUAUUCUUGAUAAAAACCAUUAAUUUCACGAUGGGAAAUUAUAAGAACUGUGCUGGAGGAGAAGAGUGGAGGGUGAGAAGAAAAAUGCAACCCCCCCCCCCUGGGAACCGGGGCGAUUCGUGGAGCCUGGUGAAGAGAGACGGAGACUUUGACAGCUGUCAAAGUGGCUGUCAAAGUUGGAGAAUAUAAAGAGGACUUUGUUAUGAGGACUUUGCCGGUUAAUUUUGCUACAAUUUGCUACAAUAUGGAUAUAAACUGUUGGAAAAUAAGCAACAAUUUGACUUUUGGAUUAGAGGAUACAAAGUUAUUACAAUCCCCUAGAGGGGUUUCGGGAUAUUACAAGAACGGUCGUAAGUGGAAAAAUACUCUGGGAUUCGCACAGGACUUGUUAUCUUUUGGGAAAGCUGCAAAACUGAAAUAGUAUUUUGUCUACAGAGGUAUUUACAUUAAAGGAGACAAUAGAAUUUUCUAUUGAAGAAAGGAAGGGACUGGACGUAAGUUUUUGUUCCUGAAUAACAAACCUCUGCAGAGAUACCAGAUUUCUGAAUUAGAAAGUUUUAGCAGCUGAACAGGACAAGAAACCUGAGAAAGUGAGGAAAAGAAGAACAAAGGACUGAUUACGACACGGAAAGAACAACGGGAGGAGUGGUAAAGAUCAAGGAAAUUAAAGGCCUUUGUUAGAUUGGACACUUGAAGUUACAUAUUAUUAAUAAAUUAAAAGAAAACCGGCAAGAUGGAAUCGGGAGAAAUUUGGUCAUGAAUUGAGACUUCCAAGCUGAUAAUGCAUAGACUGAUGGAUAUGGGGAAUUCAAACCGGGGAAGGGGGAGAUUUGAAAUCCAAAGGCUGUGUAACCAUCUUUUGAAUUUUUCUAUAUCUUUUAUUUUUAUUUUUUACAUAACUUACGCAUGUCAUUUUAUUUUGAUUGGACGUGUUUAAAAAAGGGAAUUCGUGGAAGGAACUGGGGUGGAUCUUGGGGAAAAUCUUUUUUCUUUUCUUGUUAAUGAUGUGGGACGGUGGUAAGAUUUGUACAAUUCAAUUUGGAUAGUGGGUUAAACAAAUUAAGCUUCAAAUUGGGAGUGAGAGCUUGUAGAACUAAAUUAAGGAAAGGGAAUACAGUCGGGGGAGGGGGAGUCCCAGAAAGUAGGCAAUGAAAGUAAGGUUUUUAAAUAUCUUUUUUUCUUUUUCUUUUUUUCUUUGUAUUUUUAUAUUUUUGGAAACUUUAAUAAAUAUGAUUUAAAAAUAAAAACAAGAUGAUCCAAAUCAAUUUUUUAAAUGUGUGUCGAAACAACAGUAAAACUACAGCAAUAAAAAAGGCAGACCAUCAGCAGAUUAAAAACAACGGAUAGGCCAUUUUAAAGGGUCUCAAGUGCCACUGGUGGUAUAAGAGCAGAGGACUGAUUUUGCAUGAACAUUGACAGGUUAACCAGACUAUGUAAUCAGGAGCAGGAAUCCAGACCACAAAAGAUACAACUCAGUUUGAUUAAAUCACCCACAAGGUCCCAGCUGCAAUAAAUCUGCCCACAAAGCUCCAGAAACAACAGCAGAUAAUUACUGAGCAAUGAUAGCUUACUGCACCCUCCUGACAUCUGUGGUGAGGGCUUGGGGUGGAGUGAAGAUGAAUCUGUCAUCCCUCCAGUUCUCAGAAGUGGGACUUAGACCUUUUCUAGCUAGUUAACAGCAUUAGCAAUGGAACAAGCAGAUGAUCUUGGAAUCAACUGACCAGGAAGCCCUUUGUUGCAAGCCUGCGUCAUCUUAAAUUGAACCCAGCUGGAGCUGAAUUCUUUUAGAUUGUUCUCACCUAUAAGUAUCCUUCUGCUCUCUGUUCCUUUUAUACUAUUUUCAGCAAAGCCAGUAUUCAGAAAUGCAAGUCACUCGCUAUGCUAUUCUGUGAUUCUGUGGCCAUCCAUAUCAUCACAGUGACACUGGCAAAGCAAUUUUGGUAAGCUCAACAGAAGAAUGCAUGUAUACAAAGCAGCAAGUUCACCAAAACUGAGCCAUCUGUUGUUUAAUGGCAACCAUUAGCUAGGUCUUAUGCAUCAUCUUGUUCCAUUUCCACAGAGAGUAUGUUCUUCAUUUUCUCCCUCAAUGCUCAUGUCUGCAGCGCCCUGCUAAUGUCAUCAGUGUUCAGUCAACUGUGCAGAUAAGGUGUCACUAGACGGUGCAGCCCAUGCCAGUCAUCUGUGGUGUAGUGGUUAAGAGCGGUAGACUCGUAAUCUGGUGAACCAGGUUCGCUUCCCCGCUCUUUCACAUGCAGCUGCUGGGUGACCUUGGGCUAGUCACACUUCUCUAAAGCUGGAUAUCAAAUCCAAACUCUUCUUCUUCUUCUUCUUCUUCUUCUUCUUCUUCUUCUGGCCUAGGUCUUUGCUGGCAUCUAAAUGAAAGCCAUGGUGGCACAAGGCACAUAGGGCAGAGGAGAGAGUUCAAUAGUUUGGGUGACAUCACAGAAAAGGCAGCACCUUCUUCCAUAUAUGCUAGAGAUUCUUCCAUGUCUUCACUUUCUGGUGGGAGAUUUCAUAGAAUCAUAGAAUUGUAGCGUUGGAAGAGAACCAAAUGCUCAGAACUGUGACUUGGUUUGCAAGCCCAAAGCCCCAAGCCAUCCCCUGAAUUGUUGUUGAUCUCUGCGAUUGAAGAGAACAACUCACUUUGUAAAUAACUUAACUUUGUUUCUCCAGGCGGCAGCUCAUCAUCCCUGGAGAUAUGAAUCCGGUUUCUCUAAAUGUGGCCAGGUCCACAAAGUGUGGCAACUGGUGAUGAAUGAGUGGUUUACACAGCAGAGUAGAGCUGCCUGCCUCUCUUUCUUCCUACUGCUGCUUAAUCGUCCCAGUUUCUGGUAGUUCCAACUUAACCCAGGGUGAUCCAAGGGCAUCUCAGCCUGACGGGCCUGAAAUCUGAUUCCACCUGCAUUGGCCCAAUUCACUUAGGAAUUUGGGAUUUGGGACAUGCCAGCAGCUGGGCCUCCUUAAAUGGCACCAGUGGUGAGGAUUAGGGAGAGAUUGCGCCAUAUCAGUGGCCCCUACUAAUUUUGCAUGUGUGCAUUCAUAAAUCUGUUUCAUCCUCUCUUUGCAUCAACCUUUUAAUUAAAAAAAAAUCCAUUCAAAAAUGUGUAUGUUAAUACAUGCCAAUUUGAAUACAUAUGAAAUUUAUAUUUUACCUUAAUGUACACAUUUCUGAAUGUAUUUUAUUCUAAAAAUCGUUUUGGGGGUUGCAUUUUGGUACUUGUGCCAGCCAAGAACGGUCGUAAAAUCUCAAAUUCAAAGGACAAUUAAGAUCCACUCCAUAUACUGCUCCAGUGGGGUGCAAAUUAGAAAAAUCAUCUACAUCCCACAGGUCCUUUCACUGCAGAAACAAGGCAACAUUAUGAGAUAUAUCCCCAAUGUGACUGAACCAGCCCAGAGAUGCAGAGAUCUGUAAUACCUUCUUCAAUAUUAGAAAGCUUCUUGGCCCAGCCGCUCUACUAUACCUUCAGCAAAGGAGCACAGAGGUCAUACUACAUUGAGGCUGAUAGGAUGAGCAGAUGCUCAGCUGGGCAGGCAGGUCGUUCCAACAUGCAGAUUCAUGUACACGGAGUGAGUGUAAUGGGGAUUUAAUGGUUUGACCACAUAUCAGUAAAAAUGCUAAUUAGCAAGCCAGGCUGAAAAGCAUUUUUCAUUUAAAAAAAAACCUAACAAACAAAUGUUGCCUGAAGCUCAUUCAGAGAAUGAGAUUUCACAUUACAAGAAGAGAUCUACACGUUCCCUGUGAAAAAGAAACCAAACAACCUAGUUACUGCCACUUAGAAAAGCCAAAAGCUGAUAAACCAAGGAAGCACUAUUGCUUUCUCUAAAACGGCCAGAAUAAUUGGCCACUAAUUGCUGAGGGAAAAGAAUCUGGGCGGGCAGGACUCUGCAUCUGUGCUUUGUUUUUAUAAACAAUCUGGGUUAUUUUUUUACUUGAGCAGCUUCCCAAGACGGUUUAUUGCCUUUGCUGCAAAACCAAGACCAUUCAGAUGUGUUGGUUUGGUACUGAUUGCUUUAUGACUUUCAGCAUAUAAGCAUCAGCGAGUUACACCCAGAAGGGUUUUGUGAGUUGGCAGCACUGGGUAAAUUAUCAGUGAUAGAGUCAAAUUCUCUAUUAUGCAACCAAAAGAAGCCCCCGCCCGCUCCAAAGCAUUUUUGAUUGCACCAAGUAAUUUCUACUUCCUGGGCUGAGUGGAAAUGACCUCUCAGAAUUUUCCACCGUACUUUUAGCAUUGAAAUUGAGGGGGGAGUGUUGAAGUAAGAGUAGUGAAAACACAGUUAAGAAGCUUAAAUCAUAUAUGGGACCUACUGACACUCUUCUUUUGAAAUUAAAUCCAUGUCCAGACUUUAACAUUCAAAAACUUUACUUGCAAAAACUUAUACAUGAAUUAAAACUUAAUACAGUCAUACCUUGGGUUGAACAUGCUUCAUGUUGAGUGCAUUCGAGUUGCGCUCUGCGGCAACCUGGAAGUAACGGAGCGCAUUACUUCCAGGUUUCGCCGCUCGCACAUGCGCUGACACUCAAAAUGAUGUCAUGCUCAUGCUCAAAAGCAGCGAAAAGCGACGUGUGCGUGCGCAGACCUGCCGUCACUUUUUACGUUUGCUUCUGGAUGCGAACGGGGCUCCGGAACAGAUCCCGUUCAUAUCCAGAGGUACCACGGUAUUUACAGUCACAUCUUCUCUUAGCAUGGGCUCACAGUCUCUUCUAACUUCCAAACAAAUGCAUUUCCCACUCUUUCCAGAGCUCAGGACUCAACCUUCUGUAUCUCAGGACAUGCCUUGCAGCUCCUAUGAGAGAUUCUCCACUUUUACCUUCUCCUGCAGCUUUGAUCUCUUUUUUUCAAGCAGAGAAGAAGCACUCCAACACUCUAUUCAACUUAACAGUGUUCACAGUGGAUCCUAAAACAGAGUCAUCUUGUGUCACAUAAGAUGGAGUCUGUCCUUCACUAGAUACCUCCCAUGUGACCAAAGGUAGCCAUAGGAGAAAUACUAGAGAAUGCCCUAGAAUUCAGUUACCAACCAAUCAAAUUUAAACACAAGCAUUUACAAAUUCAGUGAAUUAAAUCCCUAUACUUAACAGGGAGGAACUCCUCAAAUAUUUUCCUUUUUUUUUUUUAAAUAGUAUUUAUUAAGAUUUUAAGUUUACAAAAAGGCAAAAGAAAACAGAAAACAAAAAAACCACCAGGUUAGACAAUAGUAAAACAACACAUCACAAUAAAAAACAAAGAAAUAAAAACACUUAAAAACAACAACAUACAAAAAGAAAAAGAAAAGAAAACCACUUUUUUGUGUUCUAAGUCAAUUAUCCAUUUCAGCAAAUCCUCUCCUCAAAUAUUUUCCAGCACGAGUAAAAUUUUCAGAUGAUUUCUUUAAGGGGGAGGCUCAACACCAGCAGCAAGGGUGUGGCUUCAUUCUGAACCCUGCAAGAUUAUUUUCCUUCUAGUUGCCAAUGCAAGUCAUUUCAAACAGUAGUGGCAAUAGCUCUGCUCAUUGGUUGGCAGCUUGGCUGCCAUUUUGUAUUCCCCACAAUCUCCCUUGAAGGGCCAUAAGGAUACCCCAAUGGCUUUUUCGAGCAAGGGAAGGUCCAGAAGGAUAACAGGGAUCGGGAGGCCUCUCCAAGAAAGGGAGAGGCCAAGUAUGCAUGGUAAAGAUAAGAAAACACCCAAAGGAAGGUCAGAGCCCUCUGUUGCUAUGGUAAGGCACGAUUCAUGCUUGAGUAUAAUCAGGAUAUGCCCAUAUAAGGAAACAGAAACUUACUGGGAACAGAAACUUACGAUUUCCCAGAAACCAGGUGUUUUACAAGAAAGCAGGUGGUAUUGUUGGAUCAAGUGUAUAAAAGGCUGGCACACCUAGGACCGUGUGUGCAGACUGCAAGCUUAUUGCGCUGCAUCUUUGUCUUGCAUAUGCAAUUCAAAUAAAACCUGUUGAACCCUGCAAGGUCGUUUGCCUCUUUGUGUAACUCUGUGCUCCAAGGACCCAAUAAGAGGAAGGAAAGAAGGUCCUUCACCCUGACAUAGGUCUCAUUCACACUAUUCUUUUAAAGCCAUCUUAAUCCACUUUAAAGAGUCAUGGCUUCCCCCAAAGAAUUCUGGGCAAGUGCAAUUUGUCAAGAGUGCUGAGAGUUGAUAGGGAAUCCUCCCAAAGCCAGGAUCUCCAGAGUGGUUUUAACAAUCAGGCCCUCUUCACAGAGAAUGCUGAAUGCUCAGUGAGAGUUAUGGGGGAAUCUCUUGAAAAUUCAGAACCCUUAACCAACUGCAGCUCCCAGAAUGCUUUGGGGGAAGCCAUGGCUGUUUAAAUUGGCAUCUUAGUGCUUUAGAUUUAUUAUGUGAACGUGACCAUAGUGUCAUUCUGGGGCAUUAUGGGAAGGGGGAUUGGGGGCCACCACAAGCAUAUGCCAGAAAAUAUUUGGCAAAAAAGCUCUUUUUUUGUGUGGCUCUGCUAAUGCCUCUUGUUUGCUUAGAUGGAGAAUAGAAAGGGGCGUAUGAGUGCAUAUGGAAACUGCCCUACUUGUAAGAUGGCAAAAUGUACAAUCAUUGCCCUGCCCAGUUUUGCUACCAGCCUUGCCCACCAGGCCCUAAAUGCUACAGUUACUGAUGAAGGAGGCUCUAUAGCACAGGAGCCAACUCCUUGGGCCAAUGUCACCACCGCCCAAUAAAAUAUUUGAGGGGGCUGCACUCCUAAGUUGAUGGGCAUAUGUUGCCUGGACAAAAUAAAGUUGGCGGUCUUUCAAGUUUCACACUUUUUGUUAUUACAGAAAUAAAAAAACCAGGAUCCAUAAAAAAGCCAGGAUGAAUAAUGGAUCAAUAGCCAGCUAUUACAAGACUCCCUUCCCUCUCUCUCAGAAUCGCAGAGUCUCGGGCCCCCUCCCAACCGGUGUCUUUUGCGAAGGUAUUCUGCAACAUGUCAUAGACAUAAUAGUUCAUUAGUGCUGAAUUUGUGCUGGGCCGUCUAGUUGUUUAGUGAUGCUUGUUAGUGUGUGAUGGCUGUCUGGAGCGCAGUAAAAGUGGGAUGACAACAACAGCAACUACCCUGGAAGAUAUUUGGCAUGAAAAGUUACAGAAUUAUAUUAGGAAGUUAUGGGAUAUGCAUGGAUCGGGAACAAGCUGCAUGCUCACCCCAACACCUAUUCAGGUUCAAAUAAUCAUAAAUGCACCAUAAAAUGGAUGUUUAGAGUGGCUCUCCAAACUCCUUCCUUCUUAUCAUAGCAAGCAGGCAUUCUGUGCCAACUUAUCCCCCCAAAACACUUUACUGGAGGGGCCUCUUUUACCUGCACUUCUUGGGGAAGCAGCAUAGAAAACCAGGUCCCAAGGUUAUCUCUACAGCUUCCCAGCAAGAAUCAAAACACCGCAGAGAGAGCUCUUUUAGCUAACUUCCCUUAGGCCUUGUUAGAAUGAAUAUGGCUACAUUUUUCCUUGCUUCAGGCUAGUUGAGCACAGGCCAACCAAUUUCCUCUAGGGUCUGUUGCAGAAGACUGUGCUAUAACCCUUCUCUCUGACUUCCAAUUUUCUGGCUGCAGGGAAUUUUUGAAAUCUCAAACCCCGGAGAGCCUCAGACAGUCGAGGCCCUUCCAGAUAUGUCAUUUAUUUAACUAUAGCUGCUGUUUGUUCUACUAAGAACAGAAGAAGGGCCUUGUGGAAUCAGGGCAAUGGCACAUCUAGCCCAGAGUUCUGUUCUCACAGUGGCCAACCAGAUGCCUAUGACAAAUCCCAAGCAGAACUUGAUCAGCAGCUGGCAUGGAGAGGUAUGGUGCCUCUGACAGUUUGCAGCCAUCACGGCCUCCUGCUGGGGUGAAUUCCACAGCUGAACUAUGCAUUGUGUGAACAAGUACUUCCUUUCGCCUGCCCUGGAUCUUCCAACAUUCAGCUUCAUUUGUUAUUUAGUCGUUUGGUCGUGUCCAACUCUUCGUGUUGUUGUUGUUGUUGUUCUUUAGUCGUUUCCGACUCUUCAUGACCCCAUGGACCAGAGCACGUCAGGCACCCCUGUAUUCCACUGCCUCCCGCAGUUUGGUCAAACUCACGCUGGUAGCUUCAAGAACACUAUCCAACCAUCUCGUCCUCUGUCGUCCCCUUCUCCUUGUGCCCUCCAUCUUUCCCAACAUCAGGGUCUUUUCCAGGGAGUCUUCUCUUCUCAUGAGGUGGCCAAAGUAUUGGAGCCUCAGCUUCAGGAUCUGUCCUUCCAGUGAGCACUCAGGGCUGAUUUCCUGAAGAAUGGAUAGGUUUGAUCUUCUUGCAGUCCAUGGGACUCUCAAGAGUCUCCUCCAGCACCAUAAUUCAAAAGCAUCAAUUCUUCAGCCUUCUUUAUGGUCCAGCUCUCACUUCCAUACAUCACUCCUGGGAAAACCAUAGCUUUUACUAUACGGACCUUUGUUGGCAAGGUGAUGUCUCUACUUUUUAAGAUGCUGUCUCAGCUUCAUUAGAUCUCAACAACAACAACAACAACAACAACAACAACAACAACAACAUUUUUUUUAUUUAUAUCCCGCCCUCCCCGCCCAGAGCUGGGCUCAGGGCGGCUAACACCAAUAAAAUCGCAGUAAAAACAUAAUAGGGGGAAAGAGAAAAAAACAAAACAAAAAAACCCCAAAUACAGGUUAAAAUGCAAUUUAAAAUGCAACCUCAUUUUAAAAUAGCUAAUAAAUCAAGACCAUAAGGGAAGGGAAACAGAAGGGCCAGACUGAGUCCAAACCAAAGGCCAAGCGGAACAGCUCUGUCUUACAGGCCCUGCAGAAAGAUGUCAAAUCCCUCAGGACCCUGGUCUCUUGUGACAGAGCGUUCCACCAAAUCGGGGCCAGUGCUGAAAAGGCCCUGGCCCUAGUUGCGACCAAUCUAACCACCUUGCGACCUGGGACCUCCAAAAUGUUGUCAUUUGUGGACCUUAAGGUCUUCCCCGGGGCAUACCAGGAGAGGCGGUCGUGUAGGUACGCGGGUCCUAGGCCGCAUAGGGCUUUAAAGGUCAAAACCAGCACCUUAAAGCUGACCCUGUACUCCACUGGGAGCUAGUGCAGUUGGUAAAGCACUGGGUGAAUGUGAUCCCAUUCUCCUUAAGUUCUAGUAUUAAGAGAGUGGGAGGAAACCUUUUCCAAUUUUUUUGAGUGAAAUUGUAGUGGAUCAUUGCUGGUUGUUUUUGUUUGUUUGUUUGUUUGUUUGUUUUAGGCUCAUUGUGCUUUUUUCUGUCUAAACUGAUGAUGGAAUGCAUUCAGAUUGAGAAAGGUUAUGCUGGCAUUAUGAGCAGGCAGGUUACUGAUACUCCACCCCUUUUUGGUAUAUGACACCUGGUAUUCUGACCCUGCAGAGGAUUUGAUGGCAGGAACUCCCUGAGUUUACUAUUUCAGUCUGAGCUAUCCACUGUUUCGGGGACAGAUCUCUUGUGAAAAAAGAAAAAAGUCACUCAAUUCUCCCCAGCUACAAAAAAGUGGGAAAUUGCAUACAACAACUUCCACACAAUGAAAAUGUUGUGGAAGUAUUCUGGAUCUUUCACCAAUGUCAGAUUUUAUUGCAAUAGAAGAAAAAAGUGGUUUGAUGACUGCAAUAUUCCGGGAUAGCAAUCGAAUGAUGAUCACAUGUGGAAGCAUGUAGAAAAAUGGUAUGGUACAUCUGGAAGGGCUUUCAAUGUAGAUGAUACUGGGCUAAAUAGACUAAUAGCCUGGCUCUGUAUCAGACAGCUUCCUAUCUUCUUAGUCCUACAAGCCCCUGCAUGAUACAGGCAACCCCAAUGCUGAAGUAUCUACAAGAAAUGGCUGUUAAGCCUUUGCCUGGAAACCUUAGGUAAGAGAGAUCCCACCACCUACCUAGAUAAUCUCUCUCACUCUCACUCUCACUCUCUCUCUCACACACACACUGAAAUAUACUUGGAGUCGAGAGUGGACUUCAUGUUCUUUAUUCAGCUCAUAGCGGUGAGGAGGAAUGAAAGUUCCCCCAAAGUAUCUGCUUUAUAUACAUUAUUUACACAAUGGGCUGCACGUGAUUGGGUAAUUCCGGGAUUCUCCUGUAGGCCAAUCAGGUUGUGGAUUCACUUCCAUCUGGAGCUGGAUUGGGUGGCUCCUGUGGACCAAUCAUACUGCUGCAUUGUUCUAGGACCAAUCAGACUGCUGCAUUUUGGAUCCUAUUGUUCUAGGACCAAUCAGACUGCUGCAUUUUGGAUCCUAUUGUUCUAGGACCAAUCAGACUGCUGCAUUUUGGAUCCUAUUCAACUCAGUACAUAACACACACACACACACACACACACACACACACACACCCCUCCCUAAGUAUUGUACUUAAACCUCAUGCCAGCUGAAGGGUACAAGCAAAAGAUCUCUCAUCCUCCAGCUCUCAACCAGAGCAUGAGAUGCUGGCCAACAAGAUGUCCCUCAAGCAUGAGAUUCAGCAGGCAAAACACUAGUGCACUAGCAGCUGAUUGACUGCAACAGUUAUCUCUUAAAACAAUACUAGAUGCUGGGAUCUAAGAACUGAACUAUUUUUGCUGCCCAGUAUUUAAUGGGAAGGGCUUGCUGCUUAAUGAAGUAGAGGGGGAACACUCCUUGAGCUUGUAGGUAUCAAAUCAAUGCCCUUUAAUGAUGUCAUGAAAGGAACGCAUGAUGUCACCUUGAUCAAAGACAUUUUAUCCACCUAGCCCACUGUUGCAUCUGCCGUUAGUGACUCUUCAGAAUUUCAGGUCACUGUGUCUUUCCUUCUUUAAUAGCCCACAUGCAUAAUUUCUGUAUUUCAGUUUUAAUGUUUUGCUUAAUGUUCUACUGGAUUUUUAUUGCAUUCUGAUAUUACAUACUGACUUUUUGCUUGUGCUUUUUAUGAUUGCAAUUUGUGCGAAGUACUUAGAGAUUGUUACAUUAAGUGCUAUGUAAGUUAUUAAAAUGGACGAAUGAAUGGGUUCCAUCGUCGAACGGCUCUUGUCAUCAUAACAUUUCUCCUGCUGUAUCACCAAAACGUACACUCCCGUAAUAGUCCAGCCAAUUGGAUUUCAUCCUCCUAUACGAAGCAGCAGAAAACAUCUACUUCCUGUCUUAUUUCUUGAUUAUGUUGAGCAGCUCUUCUGAGCAUAGGGAAGUCAUGUUGGACAUAUCUGCGCAUAGGCUCUCUCGCCAUGCUGUAAAGGGACCCUACUUUUUUGCAGAAUACCUCUUGGAGAGCUCAUGGAGAAGCAAAAUGUGCGAGGUUCUGUUCAAAACAGCCAACCAAAACAUGGAGAGAGACAAAGUGCAUAAAUGUUGGGGGGGGGGGAAUUCAUAAGCACCAAUUCCUAACACCCUCACCAGUUUUGAGCCAAAUCAUGUCCCCUACUCAAGCCUUAUAAAAGCAAAAUCUGGCUCUACUCUCACUCAACCAGUAGGUUCAGAGAAGGCUCAACAGACACAAUCUUGCUCCUUGCAUUGAUUGCAAAUGAUUUCAGACAAGGCGAUUAACCUCCACUUUGAUGAGCUAAGCACAUUUGUGUACCACCCGCACAAAUUGGCAAAAAGAAAGAAGAAGCUUAGAGCAGAUUCAGCGCUGGGGUGGGCGGAGCCUAGUGCCCUGAAGGAGAUGCAAAUGCCCCCCUGCCAACUCACCAUUUUGAUGGUUUGACAAGUGGCAAGAGGACAAUAAUCUCCCACCUCAGGUGAUCUUCACCGAUCAACUCUGGAAGGGCUGCUCUAUGCCUCUGUGUAUUGGAGUGUGGAGUAGUCACAUCCACCACUGGUUCAUGGCUCCUGGCCACACUUUCUUGAAGAACAUCUGGAGAAGUAGGCAGGGAAGGAUAAUCCUGUGAGGAAGCAGGAUCCUCUGAAGAUAUUUGCUUUAGCCUUCCAAAAACUCUCUAAGGUUGCACAUGCACACCUAGUAGAAUUGACUCACCCAGUGAUAAUGUGGCAUCUUCAGACUGGGCUGGGAAUGUCCUCUGUUUGAAACCCUGGAGAAUCACUGCCCAGUCAGUGUUGAACAAUACUGAGCUUUCUGGACCAAUUGUUCUGCCUCUGCAGAAGGCAGCUUCCUUUGUUUCGCAUCCUAACAUUUCUCAGAUCUUACACUCCAAACAUGAAAACACACCCAUUACACCGUGGAUGAAAGCUCAGUAGCAACACUUGCUCUGUAUAAAGCAGCUCAUUCUAUAUAUCCUCAGGGAAAUAUUCUGGUGUGUCCAUUCAAUACGGGAUUCACUACUUUGCCUUGUUAAAGGCAAGAUUCCUUCAGAUGCCAUCAUGCUACACUAUUAACACAAAUGGGAUAAGUAAAAGUGAACUAGUGUGGUGUAGGGAGUUACUUUUUGAUUUCAUUAAUUCUGUUAGGCCAUAGGCCAACCUCAGCACUGGCUGAUUAUUUUAUUAUUAUGUUUUUGAAGAAAAAUCAGGAAACAAAGAACAAUAAUAUCCUUUCCUCUUAAGCAGAGGAAGCAAAAUCUCUUCAGUUCUCACCUUUGAUAUGAGAGACGGCCUUUGCAAAUGGAAGGAAGUCUCUUGGUUGGGCGUGCUUAUCGUUUGAGUGAAGGUCAACAGUUCCGUCUAUAGCUCAAAUAAUGCCCACGUACGCUGAGAUCUAAUUUCGUUUUAUUGCUAUUGCGAGAGCAGUACUGAUAAAUAGUGUCAUAUUUUCUUCUCUUCAGCAGAAAGGACUGUGCGAGGACUCUGAGGCUCUUGAUGCACUUCCUUCAUUACCCCUCGAUUCUGGGAAUGAGAGUCAAGUGAGGGUUGACGCACCCAGUGAUAAAGUGGGAGACCCUUCGUCUUCCCAUCAAUGCAUUAGAGGAUUUCGUUCAGAAGGUUCCACCGGUACUUAUCCUUUUACACAAAUAUUUGGGAGGGCGAGGGCAAGCGAGACAAACAAUAAAAGGUAAACAAGUUAAUAAGAAGUUUAAAAAUAAAAUAAAAUCCUGAGUCCUAUUGGGCUCGUACUGGCUGGGCAGAAAAUGGGAGGGAGCACAUUUCUCCAUUAUCCAUCAGCCCCGACUUUCUCUCCUAAAGAUCCCAAUGGGAACAAAAAGAAUUAUGCCAAUUCCAGGACUGGCAUACACCCACCAUCUCAUUGGUGUGAAAUGGAAGCGCUCUGGAUCCAGAAAAUCCAAAACAUCCACUGAUUCAUUCCCAACAUGCUCCCAGAAGAUCUCGUAAGAGCGUAAGAUGGGCCCUUCUGUUUUUUUUUUAAAAAUGAUAUUUAUUAAAAUUUCAAAGAAUACAAGAAUUACACAAAAACAAAAAGUAAAAAUACAAGAAAAUACAAAAUACAGAAAAAAGAAUAAAAAAAACCCUUAAAAAGAAAAAAGAAAAAGAAAACAGUUAAAAACACAUUAAUUUUCCAUAGCAUAUCUUCCUUACACUUAUUUCCCCGGACCUCCUCAUACCUCCCUUUUUUAUAUUCCAGUUCAGUUUGUUAGUUCAGCAAAUCCUUACCAUUAAGCUUUUACCCAUUUGUGAACCUUUUUUCGUAUCUCUUAAGGCAUUACAGCUGGAAACCACUUAGUUUCUAUCCAACAUCCUUCUAAGAUUCAUUAAUUUUACAAUAUUUCUGUAAAUAGUCUUUAAAUUUCUUCCAGUCUUCUUUCACCGACUCUUCUUCCUGGUCUCGGAUUCUGCCAGUCAUUUCUGCCAAUUCCAUGUAGUCAAUCACCUUCAUCUGCCAUUCUUCCAGAGUGGGUAGAUCUUGUGUCUUCUGGAUCAGGCGGAUGGCCCAUGUAAUCCAGCAUGCUGCUCUCUCAGUGGCCAACCAGAGGUUCAUAGGAAGGCCACAAGCAGAACCUGAGCACCAGAGCACUCUCCCUACAGUCUCUGGCAACUUCUGGCAAAGUAAUGUUGAGACACAUUAUUGCCUCUGCCCUCCAUUUCUGUCGUAGACAGAAGCAUUCCGUUGCUGAGCAAUCAGGGGCUAGGAGUCUCUGAGGAACUCUUGCCUGCAAGCAGAAUCCACAUAUUAAGUUCAGAGGUCAGGGAAUCCAGAUGGUAAGCAGCAAGCUAGGGCUAGGAACUACGUACAGGCAUUGUUUCCAGCAUCGGACUGCUGCUGAAUGCUCUGUUUAGGAUUCCCAGAGCCAGCUGGCUCUCAUCAGUGCCUUCUCCUCUGUGAAGGCUGAUCAGUUGCAGGUGGAGUCAAUCCCUGUGAAGGCAGGUGGAGUCAAUCUACUGCUGUUCAGUAGGCGAAACUGGUCCAUGACACUCUUUGCUAUUGGAGAAUCAGCAGUGAAGGGAAAGCUGGGAGGACAUAAGAAGAGCCCUGUUAGAUGAAAGCAAAGGCGUAUUUGGUCUGGCAUCUUGUUCCCACAAACCAGAUAUUCCAAUAGGGAGCCUACAAGUGGGACCGUAAUGCAACAGCGCUCCAAGCCCCCACAUGUUCCCCAGCAUGUGGUAUUAAGAGGCAGACCACCUCUGAGACAGGAGGUAAUAUAUAGCCAUCGUUACUAAUAGCCAUGAAACAACCUUCAAGAUGUUUCACAGGAAGCAAUUCAGAAAUGAAAUGAAAUAACUAACUAAGGGGUCCCUUUGGGAUGGGUGAAUCUGUCCAUUUAGUUUUCUCUCUUUCUCCAUUUCCCGGUCUCCGUUUCAAUUCUCUACAUUUCCGCAUCAGUUUGUAAAUUUUGCUAAAGGCCUCAUGAAUAUUCACCAGCAUUUUUGUGCCUUUCUCCCUACAAACACAAGUUUAUUAGGAGAUUUUGCCUAAUGUUCACGUUUGCAAAGUAAUUUUCUCCUGACAUAAUGCAUUUUUUUGCAUGGUAUUUUCAUGCAUAUAUACAUUCUUCGGCGCCCUUUACCUCAGCAUAUUCAUUUUUGUACACGUUAGCUGACCGGACAAAUGCAUCGCAAAAUUCAGAGGAAUUUGGAUUUCAGGGGAUGGGUGUAUUACAGUUCCCAUAUUGUUUUGGAAGGCAUGGAUCUGGUUGGUUCUCCUUUAAAUGUGAGCUGAAUAUAAUUUCUCCCCCAGUCCCUACACCUGAGGCAGCAAAUCCCACCAAUGCCCCUCCCUAUCUUGGGUAAUAAGAAAUUGCUUCCAAUGAUAGCCAUCUUCAAAUAUCUCAAGGGCUGUCGCAAGGAAGAGGGAACAUGCUUGUUUUCUCCGUGGCUUCAAGUUACAAGAAAGGAGAUUCUGACUAAACAUCAGGAAGAACUUUCUGGCAGUAAAAAGUGUUUGGCAGUGGAACAGACUCCGACGAGAUGUGGUGGGCUCUCCUUCCUUGGAGGUUUUUAAGCAGAGGUUGGAUGGUCAUCUGCUAUGGGUGCUUUAGCUGAGAUUGCAGCGGGUUGGACUAGAUGACCCUCGGGGUCCCUUCAAACUCUACGAUUCUAUUUGUGACAGCUGAGGCAGCUGCAUCCUUCCACCUAAUGGUUGAGCCAGGCCUGCCCAAAAAAUCUGUGGGCUAAGCCAUGGCCUGCUCCAACUUCCUUUCACAUUCUCCCCAAUGGUGUGUGUUCAUCUUAUAACCACAGUUUUUCUGCUUGGCUUUUUACGUAGAGGAGUGCUAAAUCAUAUCUAUGUAUCCCCACUGCAGAAACAGUUUUACCACUUCAUCUGCUGUUUGUGCGAAGUUACUAUCCUUUUGUCUUGCUCACAUAUAAUGCGUUCCACAGCGGCGGACAGCAAUAUUUCUUGGUGGGUCUAGGAAGGCUAAGAAAUUCUCAGAUUUAUAUAUGAUUCUGUUUCCAGCGAGCCGGUUUUCUACCCACUAAUGCUACAGGGUUAUAAAAAAUAGAUGAGGGAAUUAUUAUCCUUUUAUUAUGGAAAGGGGCUCUUCAGCUCUCGACUAUCAGAGACUCUCUAUAUUUAUGUUCAGGAUGCUUCUCCCGAUCAGAACAGGCUAAAUUAUACAUGAAUUCAUGCAUAUACAUAUUUCAGCUCAGCUCCUUCGUUAGGAAUCUCUUGGCUCGUUUGAGACGCUCCGGUUUCAAGGGUUGAAAGCCCUUCCUUCACCCAGCAGGCUGCAACGGUCUCGUUGAGAUGCCAUUUUUACUCUCUUGCACAUAAUAAUCCAGUUAAACAGGGGAGUGUUUUAAGUCUUUACUUUUGUUAUGCCUUCUGGAAAUUAAGGCGAAGGAGAGAAAUCAUUAUAAUGCAUGAACAAGUCACUCUUUCUCUCUCACACACACCUGAAGGGGGAGCAAGGAAACGUCUCAUUAUACCAAUGAUUCGAAAAGUAUGGAGUCUGUUUCUAUAAUGCUUUGCAACCCACUUCAGUUUUUCUUUCUUUUUUUUUAAAUAAUAAUAAUUUGCAGGCAUACAUAGCAUUGGGAUGCAGAGUGACUAGGGCGCUGAAGUUCAUUUUGAACUACUCUCUGAAAUCCCUUUGUGCCAUUCUGUGCUACCGCUAUCUCAACAGCAUGUUUAAUUCAAAAAUGGGUUUUUACAUACAUGUCACAGCAGUCAUGCCUUGUAGGUCACUCCUGCACCCAUUUUACAGAUAGGAGAACUGAGGCUAACAGAUAGUGACUUGCUUAGGAUCAUGCAAAGAAGCCAAAACAGCCUUCAGGCCGUCUUAAGCAUAUCUGGCGCCAUGGUGCAAAACUCCCUCCGGCGCCCCCCCCCCGUUUCCCAGAGUUGUCCACCUUUUUUUAGGGAGGACAGUGCUGCCGACGGGGCUGGAGGAGGUGGGCAGUGGCUGGAGGGCGGCUCCUCCGGGGGUGAAGUGGCGAAGGCUCGACGCGGCGCCUCCCAGCUCAGCUGGCUGCUUCGUGCCACGGUGGCCACAGCAGAUGGAGGCCCUGGGCGCGGUGCUGCUUCAGCGUGGCAUGGCGGAGGCGGGUGAGGGUGGCGAGCUGAUGUCGGGAGGCACCGCGUCCAGCCUCCGUCUCUUCCCUGGUGCCCUCCAGAACCUGGCGCCCUGGCGCCCGCACCACUAGCCACUAUGGGUAAGACGGCCCUGACAGCCUUCUUGAGAGGUGACCACAUGAAGACACAAUGUUCUCUUUCCUUUCAGACUGUGGUUUCCUUGAAGAACCCCAGGCAGGAUAAGAGGUUUUUUCCAGGUGAGCAGUACGGAGCUCAUGGCACAGAGGACCGUGCUUGGCAGGGGUCCCAAUUUGGCUUGCAAUGUCUUUUUCCCCAAGCAUCCCCCACCUGUUCUGCACAUGAUAUUAUAUAUGAAUCUAGGUGGUCUUCCACGUACUGGCCUUCUGGCUGGACUAUUGCCGGUCCCAGCAAGUCCCUAUAAGCUGGUCAAAGGUGUGCAGGAGACAGAGACUAUUGGUGCAUCUAGAGCAGUAUUGUCUACACAUUUUGGCCCGUUUGCAUGCAAAGUAGAUGUUCUGUCACUGAGAUGUGGUCCUUCCACAUAGAAGCUUGGGGUGGGAGAGUUGGGGAAGGGGAGAUGGCUUCUUCCAAGAGGGAAGGGUCACAAGGAAGCCCAUUUCAGAAGCAACAUAUUCUCAUGAAAUGACAGAGAAGCAACAUAUUUACUGCUUGUGGAACAGGAAGCAGCCAAAUAGGUAGGCAGGCCUCUUGGUUGAGGUCCUCUUCAACUUCAGUGUCACACACACACACACACACACUCAAGAAUGCUCUGAACUUUUGUACCUUUUUUGAUGUAUUGACUUUCUCCACAGGGGUGGCUGGAAGCCAAAAUGUACAUUACGUUAAAUGUGUUUUGGCACUUGACAUUAAGUGUAGCUUUAAACUGCUAAUGCUGUGGUCUCCACCAAUCCAGACUAGGACCACAGCAUGUCCAGACGGUGAGCAGGUUAGCUUCUCCUUCUCCUGCCAUGAUCCCAACAAAAGACACCCUCCUCCCCAUGGCUGCAUUUGCGUGUUCAGACCCAGAGACCUCCCCCCCUUAAAUAAAUUCAAACUUGACUCAAAUUUUGGUUUGGUUUUUGGCAGAAUUUAGUCAACAACUUUAUUGAUUACAGAAAGUGAGUGGUUGCAUAGGCUCUGGUUUGACUAGCUCCCUGCACCCUUGCAGGUAGCGCUGACCCAGGGCACCAGCAUAGGUCAGCCAAGGGUGAACACCUGGAUAGGCAGAAAGCCAGGAACAGACUAUGUCCACCACCCAGUUGUCCCCCUGGACUCAGGCACGGGCACAACCCCCUCUCAGGGGUUGACCAAACCAUUUGAGUCCCUGGAUUCCUUUAACAGAAUACCCUUCACAUAGGGAUGGUGAGAGCAUUCUCCCAUCCCUAUCACCUGAACCAGAGCCUAUCCUCAACCUUACGAGUUGUGACAAUUUGCUAUGCGGCAGGCAAAACCCAAAUGGCAACAGCCAAUCAGCCAAGUGGGGAAAUUUCUGCCAUGCCCUUGUCCCAACGACAGACGACAUACAACGGCAUAGCAAGGUCAAGUGCAAAAGCCCUAAAAGUAGGGAGAGGUGGGCAGGUGUUCUGAAUGCGCAUGCCGAAAGAGGAAGUUCUGGGUCACAUGCAUGGGUAUAUAUAGGUCCCUCGAUCCGUUUGGACUGCGCCCCAUUGGCCAGAUCGAACCCAACAUCGAGGGACCUAUCAACUGCAUGUUGUGGCUGACCAAUCUUACCCACCCACAACACAGGAGGUCAGUCUCCAGGUCUCACCGCAACACAUGCCCUCUUUUAGGGAGGAUGUGAUUUGCCUCUGGAGAGAAGUUCUGUGUGUGUGAUUUUGGUGAGUGGGGGGAGGGCAGUUAACCCCCCCUCUUAGCACACAUUCCAAUUCAGAUUAUGGGGCCCACAGCAAUUGCUUUUUUGAACCACCCUCAAGUCAGAUGAUGUGUAAUUUGGUCCUAACCAAGUUUUCUGUGAUGAUGAAAGCUACACCAGCCCAUUAAGGAACGGGCACAUUCAGGAGGGAUGUUGAAUGCAUGUGAAAUGCAGUGUUUAGAUUGCCGGAUUAGGACUUGGGGGACCAGGGUUCAAAUCACCACUUGCCCAUUAAGCUCAAAGGGUGACCGUGGGCCAGUCACUGCCUCUCAGCCUAACCUACCUCACAGGGCUGUUGUGGACCUUGAGCUCCUGUAAGAAAAGGGUGGAAUAUAUAUAUGCAAUAAAUAAACCAAGCAAUAAAUACCGUAAAUGAAAUCCCGUGCUAUAUACAGGUGGGAAGAUUGCAUUUUUGCUCCUUCAAUUAUUGGAAGGUAUUAAAAAGACCGCAGCAAAUGUCCUUAUAAUACACUGCCUGCCUCCCACUUGUUUAACCUGGGAUAUAUCCAAGAGCUGGCCUUUGACCCAGCUGCACUCGCUGGGCCCACCCGUAACCCAAAUUGGAAUCUGAAAUUGCAACUCUGAAAAAAAAGCCGCAACAACUUGUUUUCUUGGGAUUCUUAUUUACGAUGCGGCUGUACAUUCUGCUCCUCCUCCUCCUUUCCUUCCUAGUUCUAACUCUUAUUCCGUGGAAUCAUUUCAUUUAAAUGGUGAUCGCAAUAUUAAUCUUUCAGCAGAAUCAAACGGUGCAAACCUGAAGUGUUUGGCCAAUCCCGCAGGGACUCUUUUAGCUCUCUAGAAUUCUAAACUUGCUCCAGGUUGAAUUUUAAUGAGCCAGAUAUAUUACUGCAAUGUUCCUUAAUUGCUUCAAGUUCUUUCCUUGUGACACGAGAUCAAACACCAAGCCACAUUUUUCGGGGGGGGAUACCUGCUCAAUAUCUUUUCCGAGAAAAGAAACUAUUGUCUACCCUGGGAUGAUGUGUGUGUGUGUGUGUGUGUGUGUGUGUGUGUGUGUGUGUGUGUGUGUGUGUGUGUGUGUGUGUAAAGAAAUCAGUUAAUUUUCUUAUUCUUCCUCCUACCGCCCACCACUGGAGAGAACUGUUUUCCAUUUUGAAGGGGUGAUGGGAUGACGGUAAGAUUAAACGUUGCUAUUUGGUAGAUUUUGAUCGUGUGUCUAGGUACCGUCAGCAGCAGCUAGGCUGUUAAUUAAAAGAUUCUAAUUGAUUAUUACCUGGCUUUUAACCAAUUCGUUAAUUUACUUACGAGUGGUGAAACAUCAAAGCAGAUGCCUUUUUUAAGGCUCUUGAAGAAAGGAGAUAGUUUCUCCUAAGUUAUAUUUCAGUUUAACAAAUAACACCAUGCAGCAUGAAAAGAGAGGGAUGUCUCCGUGCCCUUCUCCAAUUUCCUAGGAGAGUGUUGGGAGGGUUUAUACACACAUGAUGAUGCACUCCAUUGUAGGGAUGGGGGAGAAAUUCAAUUCAGUUCACAUUUAAAGGGCAAGCCUAGCUACUUCCCAAAGAAUUAGUUCCAAAAGAAGAUGUGAACUGAAGCAUAGCCGUUGUUUCAAAAAAAUGCACUUCCUCAAAUUUUGCAGUGUAAUGUCAAGUAAUGUGUACAAGAAUACAUAUAUACAUUCAGUGUUUUUCCCCCUGAAAAAAUGUUUAGGGGUACUCUUAUUUUCCUACUCAUAUUGAAAUACUGCCCCACAAUGAGGCCAAAUUAGAUUCACAAAAUGUUUAGGGGUAUGUGUACCCCUGCGUCCCCCCAGAAAAAAUGUGCUGUCUACGUUACAUACAAAUGCAUUAAAGGUUAAGGUAAAGGGACCCCUGGCCGUUAGGUCCAGUCAUGACUGACUCUGGGGUUGCGGUGCUCAUCUCACUUUACUGGCCGAGGGAGCCGGCGUACAGCUUCCAAGUCAUGUGGCCAGCAUGACUAAGCCACUUCUGGUGAACCAGAGCAGUGCACGGAAACACCGUUUACCUUCCCGCCGGAGCAGUACCUAUUUAUCUACUUGCACUUUAUGUGCUUUCGAACUGCUAGGUUUUCAGGAGCUGGGACCGAACAACGGGAGCUCACCCCGUCGCGGGGAUUCGAACUGCCGACCUUUUGAUUGGCAAGCCCUAGGCUCUGUGGUUUAGACCACAGCGCCACCCGCUUCUCUACACAAAUGCAUUAUAUUAGGGCAAAGGGAAAAAAAAGUUAUAUUGGGCAGAGUUGCAUGCAAAAAUGUGUACAUGUGUACGCAAUAAGGCGGUGGUGGUUUUCUGCUGCAUUUUAGUCAGAAAACACCAUUGAACUGAUUAGGCCUAAUCAUUGUUCAUUAAUUUCUAUAGGUCUGAGCUGAGUUAAGCUUAGUAUAUGUUCACACUCACUUAGGAUAUGUGCACUCACUGUGUUUCCACUGCUGUGAUUUUGAUCUGUGUAAAUCCGGGGGGUUUGAAGAAAAAAACCACAGUUGAAUAGUUCUUUCCUCAAAAUGGCUUUACGGUGGUUAGCAUACGCAAGCCAGUACAAAUCAUUUUUAGCCAAGGCAUGAACUAAGCCAUUCUACAUGCCCCCUGAAGUGCCCCCAAGGCUCUGUGCCCAGAAUCUACAUCUGGCCUCAGCCCUCGGGGGCAGGCAAGUGUGGCCCUCCAGGUUUCUCUGAGUGGACCUCAGGACUUUACCCAAGCCAUAUCUUCUCUCCUGCUUUUGCCUGGCUGGAAUGUGUCCUGGAAGGCCGAAAGCACCUCUUACUUACCUGGGUGGAGACAUGUGGGUGUAGAAACCAGCUUACCACACCAAGGCAAAAAUUUAUAUUCAUUUAUAUUCCUUGCUCUGCCCAUUUUUGCUUCCUUCCUCCAUGGUCACGUUCCCGCUCUCCUGAAGGUUGUCCAGAAGAGAACGUGGCCCUUGAGCUGAGAAUGGUAGAAAGGUUCUCCAAUCCUGAUCUCCACCAAGUCGGUUACACUCGAGAAGCCAAACUACAUCCUACACAUAGCAUGCCUAGAAAAUGUGGGCUGAACAGCGCUGUGGAUAAUAUCUCUGCAAAGUAUAAAAGGGUUGCUGAUCCUAAGUGUAUUCUACUCUGAUGACAUUGUUAAGAAAUAAGCUCUACACACGCACACAAACCACAGAAUAAGUCCUGGUCAACAAGAUACAUACAGGCUUCACAGCUCAAUGUGUAGUGGGGGAAAGCAGCUGGUUUCUUUGCCUAUGCAGGCCAAGAUGGAUUUAAAAUGAAGAGAUCUGAAUUUAUGUUAAUAGGUGGGCAUGCUGAAGCCAACAGCUCUCCUGAUGGAAGGUGGUCAAUGGGAAUACAAUAGUGCUCCAGCUUCUGAAAUGAUACCAUGUUCUCUACUGGGCAUGGUUCAAGGUGCUGGUUAUAACCUAUAAAACCUUCCACAGCUUAGGCCAAACAUGACUGUGUAUGUAAGAACACAGGACCAUACCUGGAGGAGUGUCUCCAUCCCCAUUGUUCAGCCUGGACACUGAGAUCCAGCACCGAGGGACUUCUAGUGGUUCCCUCACUGCAAGAUGUGAAGCUACAGGGAUCCAGGCAGCGGGGCUUCUCGAUAAUGGCACCCACCCUGUGGAACGUCCUCCCUUCAGAUAUCAAGGAGAUGAGUAAUUAUAUAACCAUCUGAAGGCAGCCGUGUAUAGGGAAGCUUUUUAUGGUUUGAUGUUUUGUUAUGUUUUUAUAUAUAUUGAAAGCCGCCCAUUGUGGCUGGGGCAACCCAGUCAGACGGACGGGGUACAAAUCAUCAUCAUCAUCAUCACCAUCAUGAUCAUCAAGCUGCUGUAUGGGCAAUCUAUCUGCAAGAUAUUUGUAUUUCGAGGAGUAAGUGAUCUGACAUGGUUAUCCUUCCUGCCCCCUGUUCCUUCCAUUUCCCUAUCUCUUGUUAAGCUCUUCGAUGGCUGAGAACAGCCUUUAAUGUCCUAAUCUGUUGGAAGGAAGCGAUAGUACUGGGGUACCUUCUUUGAUGUUGAACAUCGUCUGGAGAACGUGAGGCAUUGGGAGAGGGCGGAUAAUGAAUAAUCUGCAUGUAGCCAGUAAUGUAUGACUGCACGUAGCCAAUCAGGCAAGCCACAUGGGCUAUCUCGCUAGCUAGCUAGCUAUAAAUCAGAUGGUUUGGGGCAGGGUUUUGGAGAAGCUCAUGAGCGGACUGAUCAGCCAUGGGGCCCAUGCAACCUGAGGCUACUUGGGGGAGUCCCUUCGCCACUUCUUGAGGGCUUCUAAGUGGCAGAUGCUUGAAGUGCAUGCUUGGUAUGUAUAUAUUGCUUGCUGUUUUGUAAUACAAUCUUUAAUCCUCUCACUCCCUUGUGUUUUGUAUUGCUUCUGAAUCUCAUUUUAAAAGAACCACCUUGCAUUUGGCAAGGCAGCUGCCUUGCAUUGAGCCAAGCCAUUGGUCCAUCUGCUCCAGUGGCGCUCCCAUUGACUGGUCAUGGCUCUCCAUUUAUUCAGAAGGGGUACCUCUCCAAGCCCUGUCUGGGGAUGCCAUGAAUUGAACAUGGGAGCAUCUACAUGGAGAGCAGGCGCUCUACUGCUGAACUACAGCCCUUCCCCCGCAAAUGUCAGACCACAUCCUUUCAUGUGCACCACUCUGAUCUCUAGGAUUUAAUUUGAAUGCUUUCAAUACCUAAGACUAUUUUUUUUUAUUAGAAACACUUAAGGUGUCAUGAUGACCGUGUGAUGUCCCAGUUGAAUUUUCAUUAGGAAUUUCUUUCAAGCAUCCUCUCAUGUAGUUGCUGUGGGGUAAUAACAAGGACAGCCCUCAAAGAACAAAUCAACCAGAACUGAUAGCUUACCAUGGCUCUUUCCAUCCACUCAUCUAUGCAUUUGUUGCCUCCUUCCAUCACAAAGCUACUCACGUGUGAAAGCAGCUCUUCUGAAGAGGCAAUCCACUUUUCAGUUAAAACACCCACUCACCAGUGAAAGCUGCUGCAAUGGAAACAUCAAAGUAAGCCUUUAUGCGCCCAAGUUUAUGACCAGCGAGGGCAAAGGAAACAGCUGGGUUUUAAUUGGGAGCACAUUCAAGCACCCUCCUACGUCAUUGGUUGGAACACUGAGAGUCCUCACAAUACAUACAACUCAAACAGAAUAGUGACCCUGAGGGGAAUAUUAUUUUUAGGGCUACCCUGGUAAGCAUUGGAAUCAGGGCUGGCUGAAGAUGUUUUGCUGCCUGAGGCAAAGGACAAGAUGGCACCCUCCCAUCCCAUGUACAGAAGCCAUGUGGAGAAGCAGGUGAAUCUUACUGCAACACGGGCAACGGGACAUUAUCCUCCACAAUACCUGAGGACAGCAGGUGAGGUUAGAGAGCACAUCACAAGCCAUAUGGCACCACGUGGCUGAGGGGAUCCUACCUACCCGCAUUCCCCAGAAACUGUGGCCUGAAGUGACUGCUUCACUCUGCCUAAUGGUAGGGCCAGCUCUGGUUGGAAUAACAGACCAUUUAGUUCAGGGGUCAGCAAACUUUUUCAGCAGGCGGCCGGUCCACUGUUCCUCAGACCUUGUGGGAGGCUGGACUCUAUUUUGAAGGGAAAAAAUGAUGCAAGAGGACCAUGAGCCCUGGUGGCUGCUUACCUGCGUCUUGCGAGCGGCAGGGGCUGGUGGCGGCGGAGGGACAAUGAGCGGCACGUGAAAGGGCUCCGGAGAGGGGCUGCUUAAAAUGGCGAACGCGGCUGUGGCUGGCACCAACAAAACCCAGCCCCCUUCCUCCUCUAGGCAGGGCAGGGAGAAUCCAGGAGGAGGGAGGGCGGAGGUGCUGGCACCGCCACCAUGUGAGGGAGAAUGAGGGUGAGGGAAAGAACGCACACGCUGGCGACCCAUGCGACGAUUCCUGGACUGUCCGCAGGCAGGAUUCAGAAGGCAAUUGGGCCUGAUUUGGCCCGCAGACCUUAGUUUGCCGACCCAUGAUUGAGUUCCUAAUAUUGAACAGGGAAUAUAUCCCAUGCACAAACCCUAGAAGUACUGCUGAUUUGAUUGUUGCACUGAUCUAGAUAUUUAUGGGCACUACUUGGAUGCCUACAAAGCAGUGGAGGGCAAAUAAAGCACCACCCCACUGACCUCAGUCAGCCCGCCCUCCAUACCCGUUUUCUUACUUACAACCUGUUCAAGGGAUGGCACUGCUUUUUCCUCCUAAGUCUCGGAUGUUGCCAUUGUAGAAGUCGGCAGGGAGCAGGAUGGGGGAAACUCGAACUGGUCAGCUCUGCCCAUCAUUGGCUCUGGCGCCACCUGCUGUUGGCCUCCCUGCCUUCUUCCCUACCAGGAACAAUGGGAUCCAGCCACAAUUGACACUGAUUCAUGAGCGUCAUUUUGAGCAGUCGGAGAUGACAUCAAGUUGUGGCUCUGGGUCCCCAUGUUAAGUUGAAGAGCGGAACCGAUGGGAGACAGUGUGGGGCCUAGCAUCUAAUCAGAGUCAAAGACAUGCUGAAUGGUGGCAGCAAUAGUAUACAAACCACAGAAAGGGGUGAGGAAAUAAUGAGCCAGCAACUGUAUUAAGAAACAUUUUAUUAACAAAACGGUAAAUUCCACUUGCUUAGCAUUUCCAAUAAUGGAUAAAUUGGCCUUGCAACAAAUAAAAAAAAUUGUAAAUAUCUAUCACAGAAAGCACUAUAAGGUUAAGGGCUUCUGACCUCUUUUUGAUAUCUUGGGAAUGAAUAAUUUCACACAUUAUUUUAGUGUAUUGUUAAAAAAAGGCAACACAAUACAGUAAUAAAAAAAACAACCCGAAGCCAUCUCAUCACAGCACAAUCCUAGGCAUCUUUACUCAGGAGAAGGUCCAUCAAUAUCAAUGGGACUUCACUCCCUGUUAAGUGUGCAUAAGACUGCAGCCUUAGUCAAACAAAUUAGAUUAUUAUAGAGAUGGGAUUAAUGUAUUUGUUAUGCAUUUUGAAAAGAGAAAAUUGUUUUAAUAUACCUACUGCAACAUUUGAUAAAUGCAAACACUUCUUUUGUUCGUUAUUUAAAAAAAUCACAAAAUCAACAAGGAAGAACAGGAGUAACUCCCCAGAAAACAGCUUCAAAUCACCUUUGCUAGAAAUAGCAAUCCCCUAUCACUUAUUACUUAAAGUAACUGUGUUAAUUGCUUGGGGGUGAGGGACCAACAAUCUGACAAAGUUAGGUGAGUUAACAGAGUCAAUACAUGAAGUCACAAAAGCACCUCGCCAUUCAGCACUGGUGGAAAAGCCCAAGCUUAGAAUCUGUAUCCCCUUCCACGUGGCCUUACUGCCACGGAAAUCCAACACUCAUUUAUUCACUUAUUUUUGGCUUGAUUAACUUUGGAUACCAACACCAGAUUUCCCCAACGGUUCGUGGCUGUCCUCAUUCCUUGUCCUGCCCUCAGCAAAGGUAAUUCACAAUGGUGGCACAUGAGGGGGGUGAUUGGACCAACUAUUUUUUUCUUAUGUUAACUCGAAUGCUAUGUGUAGCCUUCAGAAAUUCACAAGCAUCACCAAAAAAAAAAGAAAAAAAAAGGAAAAGUUCUUGACAUAUACAGCAUGAAUCAAAUCAUUUGGCAACUUUUAAGAGCGGCAAUACCGUGACUUUUUUUUUCCUUUUCUGACAGUAUUGCUGUGUUGAAGACUGAAAGCUCCUCCAUUUCCCAGUGUUUCUCCCCAGUGGCAGUGAGCAGCGUACAAGAAGAUAAGGUGCCUUGCUGGUUAAAGCUAAUUUUAAAUUCCUUCUUCCUGUCUGUAAAGUGCGAACAAUCGUACUCAUCACAGGAGGCCUUCCAAGAUACAGCUGAUUCUCUACUGAGCUCAUGUCUUUCGGCCUAAUAUAUUCCUCUUGUAUCUCUCUCACUAAGUGAGAUGUUACACAAUGACUUAUUGUUUGGAACCCAACAGAGCAGUCGUUUUAAUGAAAUGAAACCAAGGGGGGUUGGGGGAAUGCAGAUCUAUGGCAUAGAUCUUUAACCAAAAGGCAUUAAAUGUUUCCACGCAUAUCAAUGCAGAGAAACUGAAAGUAUGUUUAUUACCAAACCAAUGAACCGGCUGAGCUUAGUAGAAGAGGAAAUUUCAUUUUAAGACCAAGCUCAGAUGAAAGAUGCGGAUAAAGGUUUUACGGUAACAAAACAGAAGUGGUAAAAUAAAAGAACAACUC